rnacentral:lncRNA from 1 species
AUGGUUUGGGUCAGCCUUGGCGUAUCGCAUCUUCACCAUGGCCCAAGCUUCUCUCGCACCUUGCUGGCAAGCUGAUAUCUUCCAUAGUCGGAAGCGCCGCCGUGCCCCUUUGAGCAUCUCUACAAGUUCACCCAUGCCUCCUGGCAGGGAAGCAGACGACCAUAAAGCAUGGGCAAUACCCUGCAUCACCUGUCGAGCUUGUUCGUGCAGUUGUGAAAGCUCCUGCAGCAUAUCGCCUGCAGACCAGGGCAUCUCCUCUUCAGGGCGUCCCGUUAACAUACCUGCAGACAUAACUUUGUCAAUACGCCUCCUCGCCGAACUAUACCACAGUUUGUGAAAAGCACUUACUAUAAAUGCCGCAUUGAAGCCUCCGGUUCUCUUUCACGGAGUCCGUGAGCUGAGCCUGAACAUCUUUCAACUCGACGCUCAUUUGGAGAUUAGCAUCUUGCAGCUUAUUCCUCUCCUGGAUAGACUGCGUCAGCACACGUUCACCCGCCUUUAGCUGACUUCGCAGAUGCAACUCAUUAUCUCCCACAGUCUCCAGACUUCCUCCGAGAUUAUCUGCCGAAUAUUUCGUCAGAUUUAUAAACCAUGCCGAACACACAAACUGGUAAAAAAAAUCUUACCAGAGGAAGCCUUUUUGGAUUCUUCUUGUUCGGCUACAUUGGCCUUCAUCCGGGCCUUACACUCCUCUAGUUCUUGAGACAACUGGGUAUUCUUCUCUACAAGAACCCACACAUUUAAUGAUCCUUAAAUCAGCUGCGUUAACUGUUUCAAGUCUCAGGGGCUACUACUACACAUACUUAUUAAAUUCUCUUACUCGUAUAUCCUUCACAUACUGGUCCGUUGCUCUGGCAAGUCCAUCUUGAGCAGCGCGGAUAUAGGCGUGUCCAGAAUUAAAGGCAUUGAACGCCUCUUCGAAAAAAAUACUACCGUGGAGUACGACACGUCGGCGCCAGUGAUUCAUAGCGCUUUCCACUUCUGAAUUUGUGGCGGAAAGCAUAUCCAUAUCCUCCGCAGGAGGAAAGUUCGCCACUAUCCCCACAUCAGCCUCCGCCUAUGAAUCCGGUCCAGGAAUCCGGCUGCUGGAGGCGUGGCCGGUAGAGUCUCCGGACACAGCCCAGCGUUUCCUGCCAGGACAUAAUUAAAGCUGUCGCGUCUCGACGAAUAGACCAAGUAGGCCACAGGGUAAGUUUAAUGAAUACCUCUGCGUCUGCGUGCCACUCCUGACCGCCUUCCUUUUAAGCCCGCCUUUUUUAGGCGCCUCUUGCUGAGAGGCCCCCGCGGUUCCCGCACGGCACCCAGACCGCCGUUUCUAUAAAAAUACGGCAUGUGAUUAUAAGGUAUGGCAAAACGAAGGAAUCCUUUCGGAAGGUUGGAACCCCAACAUUACUUACAUGCGACACAGGUAGCAGUCCGAGAUAAUCCACGAUGAUGGCCACUAAAGAGCCGCCACUACUUGCCUGGUAGAAGGUCCCGUCGACAAAUUCCACGAAUAUGUCCGGAUCUUCUUCAAGUUCGGGGUCGAGAGCCCGGCAGGGAUCCUCUGGCUGCGGAGAGGGGCUGUUGAACUCUUUUACGGCCUUCCUCAGUUCAUGCUUUUAAAACACUAAGGUAAAUAAUUGUGGUCCAAAAGGUAAGAACGGAUAGAGUCGAGAACUUACCCAGCUUCGGGGGUUGUACAUGGAAAAUCCAUCCCGCGGUUUGAUGCGAAGGAACUCCUCUUCUGCUCCCUUGUACAAUUCAGAUAAUAUCCUCGCCAAGGAUGUGGCGGAGUCCGAACCUUUGCGACCACAGCGGGAGGCAUCAUCUUCUCCAUUGAAGUGCCACAUGGGUUUUCCCCUAUAUUGAAGUGGCUGCACUCCCCUUAUAAUGCAUAUUGACAUGACUUCAAUUAUUGUCAAUCCUGAUUUGGCCAGGGUUUGUAUCCGGCUCAUCAGGUAGAAGACUUCCCUGUUUUCUUCCUCCUGGGGGCUCCGAGGGCGCUAGCUUUGGCGUUUCUUCAGCGGAGUAUUGGUGAAAUCUGGAAGGCCUGUCCGGACUGGGUCCGGAAGGGGAGCGUCAUCGACAUAAAACCACUCUGAGGGCUAGUCUUCGGAUCCCUUCUUUGGAGUACCGGACAGGUAUCCAGUCUGGGCGAUGCGCCAUAUUUCGGCUCCGGCCACUUGAUAUAUGGAUCCCUCCUGGUUGCGAGGGACGAGGCAGAACAACCUCUUCCAUAGCUCAAAAUGAGCUUCGCAGGCCAGGAACAGCUCGCAGAGGGCAACGUAGCCCGCUGUGCAGUAUGGAGGCGAGGGUAAGAUUAUGCAAUUGGAGACCAUAGAACUCCAGAAGCCCAUGGAGGAUUGGGUGGAUUGGAAACUCGAUGCCUCUUAGCAGAUAUGGGACAAGGCAUACCCGCUCCCCCCGAGAUGGAUUGGGCAAUCUCUCCGCUUGCUCCCCGUCAAUAUAGGUGGCUAGUCCGGAUCGGACGGGAACCAUAUAUGCGGGCGGAAGAAACCCUUUGGUCUGUAGCUCUAUCAAGCGGCUGUGAGGGAUGGAACACUUUUCCCAAUCCCCUGGCUUCGGGCUAGGGGAGCGGCGAGCAGGGCUGCAGUGAGUAGUCAUGUGGGAUGGCCUCUUUUGGGCGCGCUCUGUGAAAUGCUUGCUUGGGGGAAGAAGAUGUGAUUUGGAUCUAAAGAUCCCCGUCUCUUCAAAUAGACGGCUCACCUACGGGAUUAGGGUGGCAAAUGCAAAAAUGCCCCGGCCCCUCGUCUUUGAUCGACACGUGGAGAUGGCCAUUAUGGAGGCACAGAAGCCGAGGAGUACAACCUUACUGGGAGGCCGAACACUAUUUGCCAUGGCGGGUGCACCAGAUUUGGAGAAGAACCCGCCUUGCAAUGCCGAAGACAAUGUGCACGUCGGACUCAUCGUCAUUGAAGCCUGGUUCGGGGGCUACUGAGGGAGUCCUGGAUAAGGUGGUAUCCGGACAUCCGGACUAUAUAUUUUGGCCGGACUGUUGGACUAUGAAGAUACAAGACAGAGGACUUCGUCCCGUGUCCGGAUGGGACUCCCCUUGGCGUGGAAGGCAAGCUUGGCGAUUCGGAUAUAGAUCUCCUUCUCUGUAAACUGACUUCGUAUAACCCUAGCCCCCUCUGGUGUUUAUAUAAACCGGAGGGUUUAGUCCGUAGGCACUACUAGGGAAAAGCCUAGCAGCAGUGCGUGUUUUAGUCCUGUCAGUAGCGCGGGAAGGAGCGCUACUGAUAAGGCGCUACAGCUAAACCUUAGCAAUAGCGCGCCUAGAUCCACGCUACUGCUAAAUUGACUUAGUAGUAGCGGUUCUUCAGAACCGCGCUACUGGUAAUUUGUAGUAGCACUUCUCCUUUCCCGCGCUACUACUAUUAUUUAGUAUUUUAUUUCUUUUUUAUUUCAUGUUGUAUUCAUACACCUUUACACAAGUUUUCAUACAACAGGAAUUUAGAGAUUGUUUUUACAUCAUAAUGAGUUAUUACAUCACGGGGUGAAAGAACCAUGGACUAGUUUCAAGUGGAUGUCCAUCCACUUUAAACUAAUCCGCGGUUCUUUCAACCCAAUGAUAUAAUAAUAUCAUCAUCAUCAUCAUAUCAUUAACAACUUGUCAUCAUAAUACAUCAUUGUCAUAUAACACCUCCUCAAGAUCAUCGUUUUCAUCAAUGACAUCACAUAGCAAAUUUGUCACUAGUCGUAAUCACAAGUACUCCUCAUUUUCAACUCUAACACAUUACCGCAUAAUAAACAUAUUGUACCUCAUAGGACCUACUACAUUCAAUUAAGACCUAGUACAUUUUCUAAGGUAAAAUAGCAAAAAACAAGAUAGCCCCUGACUCUCCAUUAUGGAGAAUGGAGAUUAGCCUGUCUCCAAUUCUUGCCUUUCGCUGAAUGUUACUUCCAAGAACCUCCUUGCGAAUGUCCAUACAUUUCUUCCAUUCUUUGAUGAUCAUGUGUUCACCGGUUUUAGAAAUCCGAUAUGCACAGGUGAGCUCCCUAGAUUUACCUGGCAGCCUAUUCAGAACUGAGAGGCGACCAUUCAGAGACAUCAAAUGAGGCACAAAAUCCAUCGGGAGUUUCUAUUGAAAAACAUAAUAAUAACUUCGUAGUUGGCAAUGAUGUACUAGUUUUAGAAGUAUGCAAAAGAUGCACGGAUGUCGUAAUAGUAAAAAAUCUUACCAGAGUAUCUCCAGAGAAGUUACUGUGGUUCAACACAUGCACUAGUGGCACGUAUUCACCAUAAUUUGGAGGAGUUCGAUAAUAGUUAUUGUAAUUCUCAAGAAGAGUACCAAAUAUGAUCAGAUGAUUUUUCUCCUUAUACGUUAAUUCGGUGCCAUCGGUGUAGUGGGUUUUAUCUACCAUCUUCCGCACAGUAUUUCAAGAAUCAAAAUAAGCUGUCAAUGGAAAUAAGCUAUCAACUAUUUUGAAAUAAGCAAUAUAAAUUAGUUAAUAACUAUGUUUGAGAAACUCACAUAGCGGUACAAUCGGAAGCGUAUCAACAAGGACCCAAAUGUCCAUAUUGUCUUCCUCGAUGUCAGGAUCACCAAGAUCCAUGGUGACAAUCAUACCCUCAUAAAAACCAUACAUUUUGCAAAGUUCUUCCCAAUUUUGGCAACCAAAAUGGGUUACGCUCUGAGCAUUGCACAAAUUUACUUCAGAAUCCAUAUCAUGAUGGGUCCUUAGGUGUAUUUUCUUUGUUUCAGAAUUUUCAUGGUUUUCAAAACCCAUCCUCUCCAAGACAUAGCGUCUUGCAUGGCAUGGGAUAAGCUAGUCAAAUUGUAAAAUAUGAAAAUUAGACGUUGAAAUAGUUGAAGUCAUGCUUAAUUACGAAAAAAACACUUGUAGUUGUUGCGUACCAUUUCAACAUCGAAGGUCUCCUCGAACUUAAUGCUGAAGCGCCGAUCUUUGUCCAGCUCAACGAACCUGUCGCACAUACCUCGAUCAUCGUGGCACCAGCUGCACUCCCCCGGGAGACUGUCGUCGUCCGAGUACGACAUUUCCUACGUUCAUAAUUCAAAGAUUAAACGUGUACAUAUUCUAGCACAAGUCAUGCCAAAAUUCACGAAAAAAUCCGGCAUGACCUUUGCUAAAAAGGACAUAUCGAGCGCCUGAAAUUUGCCGGAACGGAAAUUAAUCAACACUCCGGCAAAACAUAGGCCACUCGGAGAUGUAAACUGAACAUGAACGGCCACUUGGGCAACCACAUAUCCUAUUUGAGCAAAAACACAAGAUAUACAAGGAUAUUUGGCUGGUCUCACCUCGAUGUCGGAGGGGGUCGGUUACUGGGACGACGGCGGGGAUGUCAGAGGGGGUCGGUGACUGGGACGACGGCGGGGAUGUCGGAGGGGGUCGGUGACGGGGACGACGGUGGUCACCUGAAACCGCAUAAGUUAUCACUAAUACAUCCCGAAUAAUUGCUUAAACUAAAAAUAACAACAAAUAUGACAUGUUCAACUAGUUUUAUUAAUUCAACUAGUUCUUACUAAAUAUAAACUUACUAUAAUGUCACACCCUGAUUGUCGAGGCACAACACUUAAGAUGAUAAAUAAUGAUAAAAUGUGGUUUGACAAAAACUUUUGAGUGUUUUGGACUUUGCACUGAUUGGAUUUUGUCUGUUCUUUGCAAGUGCUCUAAAAAUCAAAUAAAUCCUCCAACUCCUAUACUUCAUCUCCUUGCUCCAAACUCUUGAACCAAUGAUCAUGCCAUAUGUAUAGUAUAGUAAAGAAUUUUCUUACAAAAAUAAUUUGGCCAAAAAGUAUUUUCUAAAUUUAGUUUUCCAAAAAAACCCCUGGAUUGAGGUUGCACUGCAAGUACUUGAUUUGGGGUAUUAAAAAUCUUUCAAAGAAUACUUUUGACUCCUAUUAGGUAUAGGGCUCCUAUAAACCACAAAAAUAUAAUUUUAAAAGUUAUUUUGCUAUUUUAUUUAAAGGAUUUUUCUUUAGGCCAAAAAUGGUCUUUAAUAAGUUAAAAUUAUUUUUAUGCUUUAAAAAUAUUUGUGAAAAUUUAAGGAAACUCAGUGGACAUAUAUUUUCCAUAUAUAAGAGUUUCAACACAUGGUCAUGUUCAAAAUAUUGGUCAAAUCCCUCAAAAACCCAUCCUGGAUAUUUCAAGCUUUUGAAAUAUUUACAAAGGAAAUAUUCUCUAAAAAUUCCAAGAAAAUUCUACCAUGUCACAUAUGACAUAUUUGAUGAUCUUGCCAAGUCUCAUGUCAUGGAGAAUAGUAUAACCCCCUGAAACCCUCUCAAAACCAUUUCCGCCCUUUUCCAAGUUUGAACAACUUUGCAUUAGCAAACUUGCCCAAAUACUCUCAAGCUUGGUCAACAUGCUAAAAUGGUCUAAUAAAUCAUCUGGACCAAGUAGAACAAGUUGGAGAACAAGUUAACUUGAUCAAAGUGCCCCAAAACCCUUCCUGUCCAGAACCAAAUUUGAACAACUCUACAUUGGAAACUCUCUCCUUUUGAUCUCAACUUUUGUGGACAUGUUCAGAACCUCAAAUUAGGACACUACACCAAUUGGUGCAUCAAGGGGAAUAGAUUUGCAUGAAUAAAUCUUGGGAAGUCCAUUUCUGUUGAUUUCUAGGGUUUACAAAAGUUGCAUUGCCAACUUUGCCCAAAUGGACUCAAUAUUGGUGUAACCUCUUAUCUUUUCAUACCAUUUGAGCCUGUCAAGCCUCAUGACAAGAGGAGUUCAUCUUCUUGCCCAAACCACCAUCGAACACCUUCUGGCAGAAAUUUAAAAUGCAUGUUGUGGCCAUUUCCACUAAUCUCCAUGAGCUAAGCUUUCUUCCACAGCAUCAUCUGGUCCUCCUCUAACCCCUGCAUCUUUCACUGCCCGAGGAGCCAUGAUUAUGGGGGUGAAAAGCUCUUUUUCCCUCUCUGGACAGCUGCAUUUCUCCCCUUUCCUCACCUCUCUCUCACUCCUGCCAGAUCCCAGAGCAUCCAAGGCCUCCUCCCCCCUUGUUUAUUCUUCCUGCAGCCACUAGACACAAGUGGACACGCGAGUGCGGACGGAAAAGCCGCGGAUGCCGGCCAUUUGCGCACUCUGGAGCACGUCAGCGUGCUCCCGACCGUUGACGCCGCGUCCCCCGACGACCUCGAGCCUCCCCCUCGCGCCUGUCGAUGUGCCUCGACGUCCGCAACACGCCACCGCGCUGGCCCCCUCCUUUCCCCCUCUGUCUUGCCUGUGCCGCGUGUGCCCAGAGGCGCCCGAGCCCACCAAUGCGCGUGCGAGCUCGUGGCUCCACCCGGAGCUCGCCCCGCUCCCUCUCUCUCCUCCUGGCGCCCUACUCCACCCCCACGNNNNNNNNNNNNNNNNNNNNNNNNNNNNNNNNNNNNNNNNNNNNNNNNNNNNNNNNNNNNNNNNNNNNNNNNNNNNNNNNNNNNNNNNNNNNNNNNNNNNNNNNNNNNNNNNNNNNNNNNNNNNNNNNNNNNNNNNNNNNNNNNNNNNNNNNNNNNNNNNNNNNNNNNNNNNNNNNNNNNNNNNNNNNNNNNNNNNNNNNNNNNNNNNNNNNNNNNNNNNNNNNNNNNNNNNNNNNNNNNNNNNNNNNNNNNNNNNNNNNNNNNNNNNNNNNNNNNNNNNNNNNNNNNNNNNNNNNNNNNNNNNNNNNNNNNNNNNNNNNNNNNNNNNNNNNNNNNNNNNNNNNNNNNNNNNNNNNNNNNNNNCCUUCCUCACCUUGCCGAACCCCGCCGUCAUCCCGGUCCGCUGCACCCAAAGCCCUCCUCUUCCCGGGCUCCCCCGUGGGCGUGCAGCACAUGGGCGGGUGCGUCACAGCGUGCUGAGUCCGCCCGUGUGCCGGGCGCCGCCGGAGGUGGCCCAUGCCGCCCGGGAGAGCGUCGACGCUCGCUCGGCCUCGCCUCCCCUGCCUCUGCUCUGUUCGAGCGGGAGGUAGGAGACGGCCUGGGCACCGGGCCCCGCUCGUCAGCGACCCGGUGGGCGGGCCCCGCCUGUUUAAGUGGAGACGGACCGGGAGUAAACCCGCUUCCCGCGCAGCGAAGGCGUACUCCAUUCGGGGCGCCUUCGACGUCGCCCUGCCACCCGCGCAGAUGAGCCGCUGGGCCGGCCCAAUGCCUAUCUCCCGCCCUGUGCGCAGGAUAAGGGUAAAACCCUUUCCCUUUUCUUUUUCUUUUUUUUUCUAUAAACUUGUAAAAUCCACAAAUAAUUCAAAUGUUAUCCAAAUUUGAUGAUCCAAAUUUGUAGUGACUCUAUAAAUCGUUCCCUACCUCAUAGAGGAUCUUGCACAUUUUUCCAGAGAAGUUUCCUUCACACUUAUUUAGUAAAUCCCAAUUUUCUUGAUUCUGUGAUAAACUUUAGAAAAUCACAAAUAGCCCAUUUUUGAUCCAAAUGCCAUGAUUCAAAUUUCUAGAUGCUUCCAAGUUCAUAACUUAGGUCAUGAACAUUUUUGUUAAUACUUUCUUUGCCACACAAUAUAAUGAGCCAUUUCUUCAUAUUAGUCAACUUUGCAAAUUCAUAGAAAAUUCAUUUGAACUCCAUAUCCAGUGAAACCAACUCCUAGAUGCUUCUAAAAUCAUGGUUUGUUAAAUGGGUGACUUUGCUCAUUUUUCAAAAAUAAGUUUCUGUACACUUCUUACAAAUCCAUAAACCCCUUUAUUCCAUCAUAUCAAAAUGUUUAGAAAUAUCCACUGACCAAAUUCCAUUGAAACCACUCUGGUUAAUUUUCAUAUAACCAGAGAUGUCCUAGAAAAGUCAAAUUACUAUUUUUAGAGCACUUUUAUUUCCUGCCUUGUUGUGUUGCUUAUUAUGGUUGCUUUGAAGGAUAGUUGAUGAAAUAGACAAAAUGCUUGGAGUUGGACCAGAGAUAUUUGAAGACCUUGAAGACUUUGUAAAAACAGGCAAGCAGCCCUUUGACCAUGUCUAUGAAGCCCUUUUUAUGCAUGUCAUAUAGCACCAUAUUGUUGUUGCAACGGAAUCAUGAUGAGGUGGUAACCACCUUGAUGGUUUGCCACCGUUACUUCCUUGUUGAUACUUGCAUUGUGCAUGACCCUACCUUCUUAUGAGGGUUAUGCCGGUGGGAGUGGACAAGAUGCUAAAGUAGAUGCUACACAAAAAGGGACGGGAAUAUGCAUGGUGAAGGAGACAAAGUAUUUUCAAAAGACUUUUUGAAAACCCUGUCGGGUGCCACUUAUGCCCGAGGGAGAUGACGAGAUGGGUAAGCACUUGAUGACGAAGUGGUGUACCGAGACAAGUGUGUGUUGUUUUCGAAAACGGAUUAGAUUUAAGAUUUGUCGACUGUCCCAACCUUACAUGCGCAACCACUCUACCCUUGUAUGGGAAAGGGCAUUAUUGAUUACCUAGGCCGAUACUAGCUUGGAGCCCGCAGUACUAGUGACGGGGGAGAGUUGGUGCUCUCUCUCGGGACGGGGUCGUGCCAGGUAGGGCGGCCAUGACUAUUUUCACAGGGCACCGGAUACACCGUUGUGUCCCCUCUCAGAUGUUACGAUCUCUAGUGAGUCUCAUAUGAUGUACAUCGUGAGGAUACGGAACAACGAGUGGACUCCUUAUUAGUGUCGUCUAGGGAAAGAUAGUGAUCGGGUGCUUACCCCGGGUACUUGAGGUAUCGCCGGUCGUGGAUGACACGGAAGUUCCCCGGAUCUUGUGGGUAAAGUGUGCAACCUCUGCAGAGUGUAAAACUAUUUGAAUAGCCGUGUCCACGGUCAAGUACAGUUGGGCGGUGCUGCUUAAACUACGUCCAGAGCUUCACAAACCAGUGUGUGUGUUUAGAUAAUUGGGGAGAACUACUUGGGUCAAGUCAAGGGGACUUGACAUGAUUGAGUUGGGUUGAUGCCCACUCUAUUUAUGUUGAUAUCUGUAACCUGUCCUCAUGGUUACUUUAAUUCUCCUGAUGCAUGUCUUACAAGUUGUUGAACAUGUCAUUGCACUCAAAACUAGCUUUCUGCAAAAAUUUACCUAUAUCAUGCAUUGUUACAUCUUGGACCAAAACAUGGGUUGAUUGCGAGUACAUUCAAAGUACUCAUUGGCUUGCCACUGGUUAUUUAAUUAGCCAGGCAUGGAAGAACCGGAGUUCGAAGAAGAGUUCUUUGGAGACGAACAUGCAAACUAGGACGUUUCCCAGUCAGAAUGCCUAUAGGGUUAAGGCAGAUGGCAUGGGUUCUACUUAUCAACGAAGAGUUCCGCUGCUUAUGUUUCAUUUGAUGUUCUGCCCUUAAGGCUUUAUCAAUGUAAGACUUGACCAUAAUGGUCAUAAUUUGUGUAAGCCAGCAUGUAUGGAUGUAAGUCUCUUGUUAUUCAGCUUCUGUGUGUUCAGUGUGCAUUGAUCUCUAGGAUCACUGUACACGUGCAUUCGGUGAUCACGACUUAUGAGUCGGGGUCCCCACAGAGCUGGUAUCAGAGCCAUCCUGACUGUAGGAAGCCUUAGUUAGCAUGGUUGUUAGUUAGGGUAAAACUAUUUUCAAAACUAUUACUAAUUUUUGAAAACUAUCUAUUCUUCUCUUCCUUUCUCAGUUUUUCAAAAACUAAGAUAUACUUUCCUCUUCCCCUUGAAAAUUUUAAAUGGUCGCUAGAACCCUUAUGCCCCUAACCACUGGAUUCCUUGUAAUCCUCGUGGAUAAUCUAGAAGGAGGGCGCCUUGCCAGACACUCACCCACCUCUUCUGAACAUAAGAUUGGCGACACCACAGCAAGACGAUGCCAAUAGAAGAUAUGCCCUCGAGGAAUGAGGACAUGAAGACCCAGAGGAUGGUGACACCUUUGAAGUUGCCCCAGGAUUAUGCAACCUUGGCCUACGAUGACCAGUGCAUAGGAUAUGCAAGAUCAUGAUGUACAUCGCUAAUAGAGUAACCCUGUCACUACCGUUGUUGUAUCGGCAACCACCGGUGGAUGAGAACCUCGCCAUUUGGUCCGCCUCACUAUAGUGAGCAGGCGAACAGUUCUCUUCAUCCCCCGCUCUCGGUGACGAUAUUUUCAACAAUGUGCCCGACAGAUUGGACCUCUACUAUGCCUUGUUAGUGUCAUUACAUAAAGGAUUGCCUACUUGGUACAAUCAACGCCUUAGAAAUCAAGAGGGAUCGUCAUGAUUAAGAAGACAAGAGGAGACCAAGUCAAUGCCAGCUACGAGGAGCCACCGUCACCCCAUCACUUCAAUGGGCGAGAAGUUGCUUAAGACUCUUCAGGCUCAACCUGGAUCGUUCCAUCAAACAAUUACAGGAGACAUAGUGACACCUGAGGAAAACUCAGAAGACUGCAUGAGGCACGAAGCAAAGCACGGCCACUGAAUCCGAGAACCCCUAGGGUAGAAUGAGUCGUGUACCCCCUAUGCGCAGUCGAGUCCAUAUGGUGGUCCGAAUAGAACCAUGAUUCUAUGUUGCUUGUUUUAUUUGUUUGUGUUUUGAUAUCAGUCGCUCUUUUUGCCCUAGGCAACAAGUAGGCGACAAUAUCACCUGCCUUAUUUUGUUGUUAUUUUUUGGCCCUUUCGGCAUUUGUUGUUUGCACUUGCACUAUAGAACCCCCUUUAGGGAUCCCCCUCCUUUAUGCGACUUUUCCCUCUCAUCUCCCUCUCCUCAGCCGAAGACCGACAAGACAAGGUACACCAAGGAUUCUACUUCGACAACCAACUAGCGCUGAAGACUUUUGCUAUAGCCUCCUGGACCAAGUGCAACCCCGUAGAGUUAUGUUUAAUCCUCCAGACUGGAAACCCACCCCUAGAGCCUUAGAUACUCCACGAGAUACCCCAGCUCGAAUCCUUAACCAUGUGCUUAACCUACAAAUUGCAAGAGAACCAGUUAAGCCUCCGUAACCUUACACAUCACUGGGUUCAUUAUGGAACUAGUGGACAUAGUGAACAAACACAUUAUCAUCCUAAGAUAGCACCAAAACUGACGAUGCCAUAGGGAAGACCAAUUUGAGGAUAUAGGAAUAGAGGACGAAUGACUUGAUGAGUUUAUAUCAAUGACUCCGGGGAAUCAUCCGAGACUAUUUGAUGGAUUAUGAGGCUUUCAUAUUGGUAGAUGAACUUGGUGGGAUCAUGGUUAUAGAUUAGCAUAGCUUUCAUUUACCCCGAGUAAACUGGAUUUUGUAGGACAAUUAUGAUCACAUGAUGAAAUACUUGGAGGUAUAAGGAUUUGAAUUAGUCAGGGGAUAUUAAUGGGAGAUAGUUGGCAAUACGGUGAUGAAUUGGGGGAGACAUAUAGAAAUUCUCGUUGGGCAUGAGAUUUGGAUUUAAAAAGGUGAUCCUAGUGUAGUAUAGUUGGUGAGUAAGUCUACAUGAUUCAGAGUAAAUUGGAUUUAGAUUGAUGAUCUCGAUCAUGAUACCAUGUUUCUUGGUGGACGACAAACUAGGAGAAUGGAUUAAAUUAUCGGAGUGUAUUUAAGGAUCUAUAGAAGCCUGAACUUGCAGUUUACUUGACAAUGAUAGAUGGAAAUUGGUGGACUUACUAUAAGCAGAGAUAGCCCUUUCGAGUAUUUGGGGAUUAUAUGGACUUUAGGAGAUCACGUGGAACACCAUCAACUUUGGAUUGGUAGAAUUAAUGGAUUGUGUAGUGAUUGAUGGAACUUAAUGGGCUGUUGGGGUUGACUCAUAGGAAGGAAACAAGAUCUUGGAGUGGCAUAUGACAUGUUUCCUUAGGGUAGAGAUGCACUAUCUUGGACCUUGGAAGGAUAGGCUGAGCACUUGGAUUGUCAUGAUUGAUUCAAGCUUGGAAGCUUGUAUAUUCUGCUCAUGGAUUUUUGCAUAGGGAUAGCCAUACACAUGAGUUUGGGGAUAGUUGACGUGUAUGAUUUUUGCUACCUCCUCUCGAGGGUCAGGAGGACAUGAAUAACAUGAGUGGCAAUUGGAGUUUACCUAUAUGAGACGAUGCUUUCGGCGGUAUAAGGUGAUUUGUUUAGAGCACUAGAUAGAACAAUUGGCAUCUCAAAAAUUGUGCUCAAGGAUGGAUUGAUGAACGUUCACUCGCAAACUAGAAUCCUUGAAACCCUUACGCCCUACCAAGCCACAACAUGGGCGGGUCCUGACCUUGGGCUUCGGCUCUAGAUCAAUAAGACCUUGACCAAUACGCAACCGUGACCACCACUAAUGCCUCAGCCCACUUUACAUACCCCAUAUACUUCAUGGAGUACUUGGGCAAGUUAGUUUUCAUCUUUAUUCGAGGACAUGCAUGUCCACCUGAAGACGGAGGAAGAAUUGUUCAGCUGGUUAGGGAACAUAUGGAGACCACCACGUCAAGGAGGAAGAACUAUACCAACCACCAUCAUGAAAAAGUAAACUUCCACGUCAAAGACCAGGUGUAUCUGCAAGCCACUCCUCUCAAGGAACCAAGCAUUUCCAUGUCAAAGGGAAGCUCACAUCAAGAUUUAUCGUCCUCUCCAAGAUCACUGCAAGACGAGAGUAGAUGGCUACCAGAUAGAGGUACCACCUGAGUCACACACCGUGCACAGCGUCUUCCAUGUGUCACAACUCCGGAAGUGUUCUAAACUUCCUAGCUAGCCCAACCUCUAACAAGGACAUCGAUCAACGGGCCCUCGACCCCCUGCCCAGUCUGACCUACCGCAAGAAACCCAUUAGCAACCUGGAUCAAGCCCAACGUCAUACACGAAGCCACAUCAUCAAGUACCUCAAAGGAGCACCACUCGGAAGCAGAAGCAGUAUGAGGACGUGAAGACUACCCCAACUCCAAGUUUCCAUACUCCUUUCCGUGCCUAGUUUGGGAAUCUCGGGGACGAGAUUCUUGUAAGGGGGGUAGGUCUGUCACACCCUGAUUUUUGAGGCACAACACUUUAGAUGAUAAAUAAUGAUAAAAUGUGGUUUGACAAAAACUUUUGAGUGUUUUGGACUUUGCACUGAUUGGAUUUUGUCUGUUGUUUGCAAGUGCUCUAAAAAUCAAAUAAAUCCUCCAACUCCUAUACUUCAUCUCCUUCCUCCAAACUCUUGAAACAAUGAUCAUGCCAUGUGUAUAGUAUAGUAUAGAAUUUUCUUACAAAAAUAAUUUGGCCAAAAAGUAUUUUCUAAAUUUAGUUUUCCAAAAACUCCCUGGAUUGAGGUUGCACUGCAAGUACUUGAUUUGGGGUAUUAAAAAUCUUUCGAAGAAUACUUUUGACUCAUAUUAGGUAUAGGGCUCCCAUAAACCACAAAAAUAUAAUUUUAAAAGUUAUUUUUCUAUUUUAUUUAAAGGAUUUUUAUUUAGGCCAGAAAUGGUCUUUAAUAGGUUAAAAUUAUUUUUACGCUUUAAAAAUAUUUGUGAAAAUUUAGGGAAACUCAGUGGACAUAUAUUUUCCAUAUAUAAUAGUUUCAACACAUGGUCAUGUUCAAAAUAUUUGUCAAAUCCCUCAAAAACCCUUCCUGGAUAUUUCAAGCUUUUGAAAUAUUUACAAAGGAAAUAUUCUCUAAAAAUUCCAAGAAAAUUAUACCAUGUCACAGAUGACAUAUUUGAUGAUCUUGCCAAGUCUCAUGUCAUGCAGAAUAGUAUAACCCCCUGAAACCCUCUCAAAACCAUUUCUGCCCUUUUCCAAGUUUGAACAACUUUGCAUUAGCAAACUUGCCUAAAUACUCUCAAGCUUGGUCCACAUGCUAAAAUGGUCUAGUAAAUCAUCUGGACCAAGUAGAACAAGUUGGAGAACAAGUUAACUUGAUCAAAAGUGCCCCAAAACCCUUCCUGUCUAGAACCAAAUUUGAACAACUCUACAUUGAAACUUUCUCCUUUUGAUCUCAACUUUUGUGGACAUGUUCAGAACCUCAAAUUAUGACACUACACCAAUUGGUGCAUCAAGGAGAAUAGAUUUGCAUGACUAAAUCUUGGGAAGUCCAUUUCUGUUGAUUUCUAGGGUUUACAAAAGUUGCAUUGCCAACUUUGCCCAAAUGGACUCAAUAUUGGUGUAACCUCUUAUUUUCUCAUACCAUUUGACCCUGUCAAGACUCAUGACAAGAGGAGUUCAUCUUCUUUCCCAAACCACCAUCAAACACCUUCUGGCAGAAAUUUAAAAUGCAUGUUGUGGCCAUUUCCACUAAUCUCCAUGAGCUAAGCUUUCUUCCACAACAUCAUCUGGUCCUCCUCUAACCCCUGCAUCUUUCCCUGCCCGAGGAGCCAUGAUUAUGGGGGUGAAAAGCUCUUUUUCCCUCUCUGGACAGCUGCAUUUCUCCCCUUUCCUCACCUCUCUCUCACUCCUGCCAGGUCCCAGAGCAUCCAAGGCCUCCUCCCCCCUUGUUUAUUCUUCCUGCAACCACUAGACACAAGUGGACACGCGAGUGCGCGUGGAAAAGCCACGGAUGCCGGCCAUUUGCACGCUCUGGAGCACAUCAGCAUGCUCCCGACCAUUGACGCCGCGUCCCCCGACCACCUCGAGCCUCCCCCUCGUGCCAGUCGAUGUGCCUCGACGUCCGCAACAUGCCACCACGCUGGCCCCCUCCUUUCCCCCUCUGUCUUGCCUGUGCCGCGUGUGCCCAGAGCUGCCCGAGCCCGCCAAUGCGCGUGCGAGCUCGUGGCUCCACCAGGAGCUCCCCCGCUCCCUCUCUCUCUCUUCCUGGCGCCCUACUCCACCCCCAUGAACUCCGUAGACAACCCCACUCCCUCCCUCCUGGCCGCCCGAGCCGUUGUCGCGGCCACCCGUGCACCACGUCCACGGUGAGCCACUAUUCGGCUACAUAAGGCCACCCCCGAGCCCUAUCUCUACUCCUUUGGCUCUCUCUCCUUCCCGUGCACCCCCUGUACCAACCCACUCCCCUCCUCGCGCCCUCCAACCUCGUCCAUGGCCGGAGCAGUGCCGCCGGCCGCUGCUUAAAUUCAUGGGCCUCGACCCCUCUCUUGUCCCCAUGAACACACCCGCACCCUCUCAUCACCACCGCCAACUCCCCCUGUGCUCCAUCCCCUCCUCCUCGUGCCUUCCUCGCCUUGCCGAACCCCGCCGUCAUCCCGGUCCGCCGCACUCGAAGCCCUCCUCUUCCCGGGCUCCCCCGUGGGCGUGCAACACAUGGGCGGGUGCGCCGCAACACACUGAGUCCACCGGUGUGCCGGGCACCGCCGAAGGUGGCCCGUGCCGCCCGGGAGAGCGCCGACGCCCGCUCGGCCUCGCCUCCCCUGCCUCUGGUCUGUUCGAGCGGGAGGUAGGAGACGGCCUGGGCACCAGGCCCCGCUCGUCAGCGCCCCGGUGGGCGGGCCCCACCUGUUUAAGUGGAGACGGACCGGGAGUAAACCCGCUUCCCGCGCAGCGAAGGCGUACUCCGUUCGGGGCUCCUUCGACUUUGCCCUGCCACCUGCGCAGCUGAGCCGCUGGGCCGGCCCAAUGCCUAUCUCCCGCCCUGUGCGCAGGAUACGGGUAAAACCCUUUCCCUUUUCUUUUUUUCUAUAAACUUGUAAAAUCCACAAAUAAUUCAAAUGUUAUCCAAAUUUGUAGUGACUCUAUUAAUCAUUCCCUACCGCAUAGAGGAUCUUGCACAUUUUUCUAGAGAAAUUUCCUUCACACUUAUUUAGUAAAUCCCAAUUUUCUCGAUUCUGUGAUAAACUUUAGAAAAUCACAGAUAGCCCAUUUUUGAUCCAAAUGCCAUGAUUCAAAUUUCUAGAUGCUUCUAAGUUCAUAACUUAGGUCAUGAACAUUUUUAUUAAUACUUUCUUUGCCACACAAUAUAAUGAGCCAUUUCUUCAUAUUAGUCAACUUUGCAAAUUCAUAGAAAAUUCAUUUGAACUCCAUAUCCAGUGAACCCAACUCCUAGAUGCUUCUAAAAUCAUGGUUUGUUAAAUGGGUGCCUUUGCUCAUUUUCAAAAAUAUAUUUCUGUACACUUCUUACAAAUCCAUAAACCCCUUUAUUCCAUCAUAUCAAAAUGUUUAGAAAUAUCCACUGACCAAAUUCCAUUGAAACCACUCUGGUUAAUUUUCAUAUAACCAGAGAUGUCCUAGAAAAGUCCAAUUACUAUUUUUAGAGCACUUUUAUUUCCUGCCUUGUUGUGUUGCUUAUUAUGGUUGCUUUCAAGGAUAGUUGACAAAAUAGACAAAAUGCUUGGAGUUGGACCAGAGAUAUUUGAAGACCUCAAAGACUUUGGUAAAACAGGCAAGCAGCCAUUUGACCAUGUCUAUGAAACCCUUUUUAUGCAUGGCAUAUAGCACCAUAUUGUUGUUGCAACGGAAUCAUGAUGAGGUGGUAACCACCUUGAUGGUUUGCCACUGUUACUUCCUCGUUGAUACUUGCAUUGUGCAUGACCCUACCUUCUUAUGAGGGUUAUGUCGGUGGGAGUAGAUAGGAUGCUAAAGUAGAUGCUACGCAAAAAGGGACGGGAAUAUGCACGGUGAAGGAGACAAAGUAUUUUUAAAAGACUUUUCAAAAACCCCGUCGGGUGCCACUUAUGCUCGAGGGAGAUGACGAGAUGGGUAACCACUUGAUGACGAAGUGGUUCACCGAGACAAGUGUGUGUUGUUUUCGAAAAUGGAUUAGAUUUAAGAUUUGUCGACUGUCCCAACCUUACAUGCGCAACCACUCUACCCUUGUAUGGGAAAGGGCAUUAUUGAUUACCUAGGCCGAUACUAGCUUGGAUCCCGCAUUACUAGUGACGGGGGAGAGUUGGUGCUCUCUCUCGGGACGGGGUCGUGCCAGGUAGGGUGGCCAUGACUGUUUUCACAGGGCACCGGAUACACCGUUGUGUCCCCUCUCAGAUGUUACGAUCUCGAGUGAGUCUCGUAAGAUGUACAUCGUGAGGAUACAGAACAAUGAGUGGACUCCUUGUUAGUGUCGUCUAGGGAAAGAUAGUGAUCGGGUGCUUACCCCGGGUACUUGAGGUAUCGCGGGUCGUGGAUGACACGGAAGUUCCCCGGAUCUUGUGGGUAAAGUGUGCAACCUCUGCAGAGUGUAAAACUAUUCAAAUAGCCGUGUCCACGGUCAAGGACAGUUGUGCUGUGCUGCUUAAACUACGUCCAGAGCUUCAGAAACCAGUGUGUGUGUUUGGAUAAUUGGGGAGAACUACUUGGGUCAAGUCAAGGGACUUGACAUGAUUGAGUUGGGUUGAUGCCCACUCUAUUUAUGUUGAUAUCUGUAACCUGUCCUCAUGGUUACUUGAAUCCUCCUGAUGCAUGUCUUACAAGUUGUUGAACAUGUCAUUGCACUCAAAACUAGCUUUCUGCAAAAAUUUACCUAUAUCAUGCAUUGUUACAUCUUGGACCAAAACAUGGGUUGCUUGCGAGUACAUUCAAAGUACUCAUUGGCUUGCCACUGGUUAUUUAAUUGGCCAGGCAUGGAAGAACCGGAGUUCGAAGAAGAGUUCUUUGGAGACGAACAUGCGAACUAGGACGUUUCCCAGUCAGAAUGCCUGUAGGGUUAAGGCAGAUGGCAUGGGUUCUACUUAUCGACGAAGAGUUCCGCUGCUUAUGUUUCAUUUGAUGUUCAGCCCUUAAGGCUUUAUCAAUGUAAGACUUGACCAUAAUGGUCAUAAUUUGUGUAAGACGGUAUGUAUGGAUGUAAGUCUCUUGUUAUUCAGCUUCAGUGUAUUAAGUGAGCAUUGAUCUCUGGGAUCACUGUACACGUGCAUUCGGUGAUCACGACUUAUGAGUCGGGGUCCCCACAUAUAAAUAGAAAAUAAAACUAGUUCUUUCUAAUAAUAAAGUAGUUCAACUAGUUAUAUUGAUUAUCUUACUAAAAAUACAUUAGUUCUAUUAAUUCAACUAGUUUAUUAAUUUACUUAGUAAACUAGUUCAACUACAACUAAAGUAGUUCAACUACAACUACUAUUAAUCAUACUGCCCUAGUUAACUAGUACCAUCACUACUAGUAAUUAACAUCUACUACUAAAAAUCUAGUACUAAUGUGAACCCUAAAUUAACACCUACUUCUACUAAAAAUCUAGUACUAACUAAGCAACAUCUGGUACUAGCUAUGAACCCUAAAUUAACAUCUACUACUACUAAAUCUAGUACUAACUAGUGGCAGGGGGUGGGGGCGACGGAGAGGUAGCUAGGGGCGGCGAGGGCGGGAUCGGGAUCGGGAGGCGGCGGUGCUGGGUGGGCUCGGGUGGCGGCGGUGAGGUCGAGGGCGGUGGGAGGAGGGCUUCCGGCGGCGGAGGGAGGAGGGGCGGCCGCAGGCGGACGGAGGAGGGCGGCGGCGGAGGAAGGAGGGGCGGCCGCAGGAGGAGGGAGGAUGUGCGAGGAGGAGGGAGGCGGGACUGAAGGAGGGGAGUACCUCGGCGGCAGACGGACGAAGGCGGCGGUGGCGGCAGCGACGCACGACGACGGUUAUCGGCACGCGGGCGAGAGUGAGAGUGUGAGUGAGAGAGAGGGUCGGUCGUGCGCGUGGGGAUAAGGUAGGGAUAGUUGUAGCGCGUUUGCCGAAACGCGCUACAGCUAAUCUGAAUAGUAGUAGCUCUUUGCAUAUAAACCACUAGUGCUAAGUGGAACUAUACAAAAACACGUCUAUGCAAAAAUACAUUGGCCAUCAAUGAUCUUUUUGUGUACAAUCUGAAUUGUCAAUAUGAGUCCUCUCCGGUAGGAACCGGAGAGGACUCAUAUUGCGGCCACAAAUUUUACACAUAGAGUUCAGUGAAGACCAACUGGUUAUGAUAAUUUCAGAAAUAACAUAUUUAAGGUGGUAAACACCCUGUUCACGGAGCGAGGUGGGACUAAACUUCUGGGCUGAUCUUAGGAGUAGUGGUUUCCCUCGAAGCGCGUUGCUGCUAACUUCCAUAGCAGUAGCGCGGUUCAUUAUCGGGCGCUGCUGCUAUAACUAGCGGGGAGGGGGGGCGAGGUCAUGGCAAUUAGAGCAGUAGCGCGUUUUGCGAUGGACGCGCUACUGCUAUUUUCCUUUCUGCAGCGCGUUUUGCUAUCACGCGCUGCUGCUAAGUAGCAGUAGCGUUGUAUUUUGAGCAGCGCUGCUGGUAAGAUUUUGUGUAUAGGCUUUUCCCUAGUAGUGAGGACUUACGAUCAUCAACAAUCAUACCAUAGGCUAGCUUCUAGGGUUUAGCCUCUCUGAUCUCGUGGUACAUCAACUCUUGUAAUACUCAUAUCAUCAAGAUCAAUCAAGCAGGAAGUAGGGUAUUACCUCCAUCGAGAGGGCCCGAACCUGGGUAAAACAUCAUGUCCCCAGUCUCAUGUUACCAUUAGCCUUAGAUGCACAGUUCGGGACCCCCUACCCGAGAUCCACCGGUUUUGACACCGACAUUAGCAGUAUCCUGCAGUAGUGGCACUGCAUUGCUCUUGCCAGUACCUCUUGCCCUUUGUUAGCAAACUUACACUCAUUGUUGUUUGAUUAUGUAGCAUCAUUGUAAAUGUUCGCUUCUUUAUCCUCCCUUUGCUCAAAAUUAUAAGAUCUAUAUGUACUCUUAGAUAAAUGUAGAAUUAACACAAUGGUGAUGAAGUUUUGGAUUGCUCAUGUAAGUACCUGUUGUCAUGUACUCCCUCUGUAUCGAAUUAAUUGUUGAUCAAUUGGAUGUAUUUAGAACUUAAUAGUGCUAGAUACAUCUAUUUGAGCGACAAGUAAUAACAGACGGUGGUGGUAUUAGUGUACUUGCAUUGCGAGAUAGUUGAUUGUCUAGCAUUACCCUACAUCUUAUCUGCCCUACCCUCCACUUUCUCCAAAUUAUCAGAUCUACAUUUACUCUUACCAAAAUGUUGAAUAAAGCUAAUGCCCCUCCCCGCGUUGAUGUCUCCAUUCCUCUUGUCAAUACCUUUUGCCUUGUAACACUGUACUUAAUUAAUUGCUAUUUGUUUAUGUAUCAUCACUCUGCACCUGAGCUUCAUUAUCCUCUAUUUCUUCCAUUAUUAUUUGAUCUAUAUUUACUCUUUGUAAAAUGUAGAAUAAUGCAACGCUUAUAAAGAAGUUUCUUUGGGGAAUUUAUUGAAUUAUCCUUCCGUCGACAAGGAGAUGGGCUUUGUCCAGCCCGUGUUAACAUGUAAUGUGAGUUCAUCCUUCUCAAGCCUUCAUACUUCGUUCUAGUACAUAUUUGUAUAGGCAUCAUUUCAUCCACUAUUGUUUACUUUGGUGUUUACAUCUGAUUGGAUGUUUGCAAAAAUUACCAGUUUUAAAUUGUAGUUGUAAAAGCAUGUUCCUUAUGCAGAACAUAUCCAUUUAUUUGCUUAUAUAAUUGUGAAACCUGUUACGUGUCUCCUUGUUUCACUUUCAGAGUCGUAUCUCUUAUGCGAGGCAGAACUUUCGGGAAGAUACUGAGCCAAACCAUCUUGAACAGAGCGAAAUGACCCCAAGGUCCUGUGUUGAUGAAGACAGUGGGUUGAAGCUACUCACCAGCAGUUGUGAGACAACCUCUAUGCAGUCGCUGCCUCAAUCAGUUCGACUUGUUCAGUCUCAACUUAAAGCGAAAAGGCUUACUUUAACUCAGCUCCGACUUGAUGUCAAUCAUGCAAUGAUGAUAUCAGAGGACUGCCUUGCGGGCUUUGGUGCUAUACAGCUAGGGAUAGAGCAUCUAUCGUUGACACAACUGAGGUCUCAUCAGCUUGUACGGCUGCUUGCGGUGCCCGUCCUAGCCAGGCGUAAUGCCUUCUGAAGUGCUCUCAGUUUUGUAUAUUCUUUUGUCGGUGCGUUUAUAUGCACUGGUGGCGACCUUUGAUGCCCAAUUUAUGUAAUCCACGGUCACGUUGAAAUUUAUUAUCACCGGUGGCGAACUUUGAUUCCCAGUGGAUGUAAUAUGCCAUAAUUUCUUUAUUGUAUAGUAUAGGUUUAUUCUUGGUCGAUAUGCUCUAAUUUAGGCCGAAAGGUUCAAUGGAUCUCAAUUUUGUCGGUCUUCCGGUCGGCCCGUUACUCAUAUGGGCCAAAACGUGGGCCUAUAAUCAUCUUGGGCCAUUAGCAGGUCUAAACCUAUAGUAGUUUUCCGCCUUUAACAGGCCGAGUAAAGUUCUGGCCAACUGGGCCAGAGAAUACCAUGGGCUUUUAACAGGCUAAAAACUAGAUGUGGCUAGCGUCGAGCUAAAAAUUUCAUGGGCCAAUACAGGCCGAAACUGCCUAAGGCCCAUGUUUUUCCCAAAUAGGAAGAGCCAUUAACAGGACAAAAUAAAUCUCGGGCCCUAUUUGGCCCAAUAAAAUUAUGGUCUUUAAGAAGGCCGGUAUCAAUGCGGGCCGUAGGCCCAACAACGUGACGGGCCAUUAUCAAGUGGGUUGUAAGCAGGCCGGAUUCAACGUGGGAUGUAAUUAGGCCCAACUAUUACCCGAGCCGUUAAGAGGCCAAAAGUUCUUCGGACAAGAAAUAGCCCAGUUUCUGCAUGGGCCGUUAAAUGGCCUAAAGUUAAACCGGGUCGACAACGUCCCAAAUGCACCACGGGCCGCUAACAAACGAAACUAUUAUCAGUCUGAACUGGUAAACGGGCAUUUAACAGGCUGAAAUACAAACCUGGCUUAGAAUGGCCCCAAAAGAACAGUGGCCUGUUAACAGGUCUGAUCCGAUAUGAGUCGUAAUUAGGCCCAAAACACGACAGUCUGUGAAUAGGAUCGAUAUGAUAUGGGCCUCAAUUUGACCCAAAACAUGGUAGGCUGUUAACGGGCCAGCCCACUAGUGUUUGAAAAAAUAUGGUGGACCUUUAGCUGGGCCGCCCUUUUUACCUUAAAUGGGCAACUGUUGGCCUAUGCCACGUGUCGACAUAUCAUAUGCGUCUUCCGUCCACUGUAGGGAUGACAUCUAUCCCAUCGAUGAGCUGACACGUGCAUUAUCCGGCGAAUGAGAAUUUUACACGUGGAAAAUCACCAUUGCUCGGGGCUGUUAACGGGUUCAGAUCCAAACCGGAACCCGAUAGCUUAACGGCGACCCGUUAUGGUGGAUGCCACAUGUUGGUCACCCUUGACGAAAGCACUUCUAUGACACGCAAUUUAUCGUCAUGGAAGUGGACACUUCUGUGAUGAUUAUUUUCGUAAUGUCAUGGAACACUUCUAUGAUAGCGCGGGAAUGACUAUCUUGAUUCUAUCACAAAAUCGUCAUGGAUGUACAUGCAUGACAGAAAACGUGACCUACUGUGACAAACACGUAUCAUCACGGAAGUGUAUUUUUUUGUAGUGGUUGUGCACGGUGCGCCAUUGGUCUGAGCACCACUCAUCCACCAACACCUCCCGACAAUCCAUCUGAUCGGCACACCAUCUCGGGGGCACCUAAGUUAGUAAAGAGAAACAUACUUGAGAGCUACGCCUACAAAUCAAAUCAAGGAAACUAAGUACAAGGCCUUAAGAAUAGGUAAUUACCGUCAUGUACCGCACCUUCUUCAGAAACUUUCCAUGGCACGCCGACUUGGUCUUCUUAAUACCACACGAGGCGUAGUACUGUCGAACAGCCUGCACCUGAGCCUCGUGCCGUAAGUUUUGUAGUAGGCGCCUGCACUCGAUAUCAAUAACCUGUGUCGCGGCCUCCUUGUAUCCCUCCUCACAUUCGUAGAAGGUCUGCAAUAAAAUGAGACAACAUUGAUUAGUACAAUAACUAGCUAUUUGAAUAUUUUUAAUUGUGUAAAGAAGAAAUUACUGAAAACUUUCCGAUCACCAUCUCUGCCCUCGUGUGGCACUAAAUACCGUCGAUCAUCUCUUCCGAUGGAGUCGGGGCAGCCAAGUAGUGCUCCUAGCUCAAUCCUAGCUCUGGAACCUGACCUUCACCGGGAAACGUGACAAACCCAGGGAAGUUUUGCUGGCAAAGCACACCAAGGACGUUGUUGGGCCUGCGCACACCAUUAGCAUGGUGCCAACCCCUGCAGUAUGACAAGGCCAACACAUUAGAUAUUUGAGGAAACAUGAAGGCAAAUGGUACAAAAAGAGUAAAUGCACUUACCUCUCCCCAUCAGGGAAAAUCAACCACCUCUGCUCACAGGUCGGCGGCACGGGCAGGAGCCAUGUACAACCACGCUGGUAGAAGGUGGCCCCCUCAACAACCUUGCCCUCGCUAUUAGUCGUAUCCCCGCCACCAGCAGCAUGGCCACUCGGCCCCUCAGGCCGGAUCCGGCCAGGUACCCCAUCCGGACGUCUGCUAGGACAUACCCUAGUCCGGAGUCUCGUGGCCCGAAGUCUCAUGGACCAGAGUCUGUGUGGCCUCCUCCUCAGACUUGUCCACCCUAGCAGUCCUGUGCUCGGGUGAAUCAUCUAGGGGUGGUGGCGUGGAAGGCGUAGGAGCCUGCCUAGAUCUCCCAUGGACACGUCCACCCCGACCUCCUCUCUUCUUCCCUCCCCGACCUCCUCCCCGGUGGGCAACAACACCAAUGAGGAAGCGCCCACCGGUGUCCUCAUAUUGUCGACCAACACUCUCCAGAGAGUCUAGGGUGGGAUGGAAGUACCCCUCCCACCACGCGUCUAUGAAGAGCCUCGGAGCGCUCCUAACCGGCGCCCACCAUCUUUCAACACCUGCCAUGACAUAGAGUAAACGAAAUUAGUAUAACAUAAUUUUUUUUAAUACCGACAUGAAUAAUAAUAUGCAUAUAACUAGUGUAUCAUCAUCAAGUACAGCAUAACUUAGGAACCCAUCCUCGACCAUCGACCCCUCGACCCUCGACACAUCGGCUACCCUUGACCCCUCGGCGACCCUAGACCCCUCGGGGAUCCUUGACCAUCGAACCCUCGACCCCUCGGCGACCCUCGACCCCUCGGUGGUCCUGUCGAACACUUUCACUGUGAGAUUGGUGCGGCUGUUGUCGUAGCUUAAGAUGCGGACGUGCCCGAGCUGAAGGUCAUCAGCGCGGCGAAGUACUUCCAUCCGUUCUUCGCGCACGGAUGGAAGUAGUUCACCCACACUCAUGAACUUCAGCUCUGGGAAAUCCUCAUCUUAAGCCACGACACCAGUCGGUCAGCACUCAGACCAGAAGAUCCUCGACCCUCGACCCCUCGCCCCUCGACCCCUCGGCGACCCUCGACCCCUCUAUACAUCUCCAACGUAUCUAUAAAUUUUGAUUGUUCCAUGAUGUUAUAUUAUCAUUCUUGGAUGUUUUACAAUCGUUUUAUUGUCAUUUUAUAUCAUUUUUUGGUACUAACCUAUUGACAUAGUGCCCAGUGCUAGUUAAUGUUUUUCAAUUGUUUUUUACAUUGCAGGAAAUCAAUACCAAAUAGAGUCCAAACGCAGCGAAACUUUUUGUGGAUUCUUUUUGGACCAGAAGACAUCCAGUGGGCCAAGAAAGCACCUGACGGGAGCUUCGAGGGGAGCACAACCCACCAGGAUGCGCCUGGAGGCCCAGGUGCGCCCCAGUGGGUUGUGCCCACCUUGGUGGCCUCCCGCACCACCUCUUUGCUCUAUAAAUACCCCAAUAUUUCAGAAACCCUAGGGGAGUCGACAGAAAUCAAUUCCAGCUGCCACAAGUUCGAAAAACACCAGAUCCAAUCUAGACAGCAUCUCGGAGGGGUUCAUCAUUUCCAUUGUUGCCUCUCCGAUGAUGUGUGAGUAGUUCUUUAUAGACCUACGGGUCCGUAGUUAGUAUCUAGAUGGCUUCAUCUCUCUCUCUCUCUCUCUCUCUCUCUCUCUCUAUUAUCAAUACAAUGGUCUCUUGGAGAUCCAUAUGUUGUAAGUCUUUUUGCAGUGUGUUUGUUGGGAUCCGAUGAACUUUGAGUUUAUGAUCAGAUCUAUGUUUUUAUCCAUGAAAUUUAUUUGAGUCUUCUUUGAUCUCCUAUAUGCAUGAUUGAUUAUAGACUCAUAUUUCAUCUUUGAUAUUUGGGUUUUGUUUGGCCAACUUGAUCUAUUUAUCUUACAAUUGGAAGAGGUGCUUUGUGAUGGGUUCGAUCUUACGGUUCUUGAUCCCAGUGACAGAAGGGGAAACGACACAUAUGUAUCGUUGCUAUUAAGGAUAACAAGAUGGGGUCUAUUUCUACAUAAAUAGAUCUUGUCUACAUCAUGUCAUAGUUCUUAUUGCGUUACUCCGUUUUUCCAUGAACUUAAUACACUAGAUGCUUGCUGGAUAGCGGUCGAUGUGUGGAGUAAUAGUAGUAAAUGCAAGCAGGAGUCGGUCUACUAAUCUUGGACGUGAUGCCUAUAUAGUGAUCAUUGCCUGGAUAUCGUCAUGAUUAUUUGAAGUUCUAUCAAUUGCCCAACAGUAAUUGUUUUCCCACUAUUUGCUAUUUUUCUUGAGAGAAGCCACUAGUGAAACCUACGGGCCCCGUGUCUCUUCUCAUCAUAUUUGCCUUUGCGAUCUAUUUUCCUUUGCUUUUAUUUUUAGAUCUAUUAAACCAAAAAUACAGAAAUACCUUGCUGCACUUUAUUUAUUUUGUGAUCUAUUUAUCCUAUCCAUCGCAACUUUAUCACGUCUUCUAGCCAAUUUGAGGCACUGUUACCCGAAAGGGAUUGACAACCCCUUUAACAGAUCAGGUUACGAGUAUUUGUAUUUUGUGUGUAGCGGCUGUUUAUGUUGUGUUGCUUGGUUCUCCUACUGGUUCGAUAACCUUGGUCUCAUCACUGAGGGAAAUACCUACAAUCGCUGUGCUGCAUCGUCCCUUCCUCUUUUGGGAAAUACCGACGUAGUUCAAGCAGGCAUCAAAAGGAAUUUCUGUGAUUGAAGUUUUCAAGUUUUGGGUGAUCUUACGAUGGAUGAAGUAAUAAGGAUUAGCAAAAGGCUAAGCUUGAGGAUGCCCGAGGUACCCCAAGAUAAUAUUGAAGUAGCAAGCAACUAAGACUGUGUAUGCCCCCGAGUGGCAUCCCCUCUUUCUUCUAACAACCAUCGGUAUUUUACUUGGAACAAUAUUUUUAUUCGUCACAUAUUAUGAGUUUUGAUUGGAGCGUAUUCUAUGAUAUGAGUCUUUGCUUGUUUUGCUUUGUGUUUUCAGUCUUGAAUCCUUUCUGGACACAUCUUACUGAGAGAGCCGAAAAUUAUGCUAUGCUUGCUCCUAUGCUUCACUUAAAAUUUCUAGAGCCAUGGAAUUGCUCUAGUGCUUCACUUAUAUCUUUUUGAGCAUGGUGUUCUUUGUUAUUUUUUAGGAAAUUCUCUAAUGCUUCACUUAGAUUUAUUUGGGAGUUAGUAAAUUUUUAAGAAAUUCUCUCUUGCUUCACUUAGUUUAUUUUGAGAGAAAGAAGAAACUUAUGCUCAUGUUCUUCACUUAUAUUUGUUUGAGCUUAUCAAAAGCAACAUAUGAAAAUAGUUCCAAAGUGAUAGAUAUGCAAGGAGGAUAUAAUAAAAACUUUAAUGAAGAUCAUUGUACAAAAUAAACUUGAUCCUUAGUAAUGAUUUUGAGAUAUGACGAUAUGAUAUGUGAGUCAUGUUGAAGAGUAAUUGUGCUUUAGUAAGAAUAUUGAUGUUAAGGUUUGUAAUUCCCUAUGCAAGCAUGAAAGUCAACAGUUAUGCAAUGAAAUUUAUAUCCUACUUGUGGUGCAUUAUUUGGUGUUACUUAUGCUUAAUGCUUGGGUACAAGAUUUUUUGUUUCUUGGUUGGUCGCUUCUCAAUCUUUUGCUAGCCUUCAUUUUGCACUAAGUAUGAUCACAACUUGUGCAUCCAAAACCCUUUAAACCAGUUUUGCGAUAUGGUCCACUAUACCUACCAAUAUGCGGUAUUUUCGUGCUGUUCUAAGCAAAUUUGCAUGUUCCAUCUCUAAUUUUCAAACUAAAUUUCUCUUUUAUGUGCUCGUACCGCUCGCGAGGCGGUGAGGGGUGGCCAAUAUUUUCCAUUCUAGAUGUGUUAUUCUCACGAUGAGUGUUUAUUCACUUGUCAUUGUACGAGAGUAUAGCAAAGGUAUUAGGGAUGCCCAGUCCCGAAAUGAAAAAUGAAUUUACUUUAUGUUGUCAAAUAAUAAAUUCGUUGGAAAGUGUUGGUAUGGAGGGCACCUGUGGAUACGGUUAGCCCUGGAAAGUGAAAUUAAUGGUGGAAAAAGAAAUAAGCUUUAUUUUCUGUUUGGGAACCGCCUAUGAUGUAUCUAGCAUGGAAAGUGUUGGGAGCUCUAAGUCGUUUUCGUUGGUGGGAAAAGUAUGUCUCCCAAAAUGUUUUUAUCUCUCAAUUUUCGCUUUGAGCUCUCGCACCUCUACAAAUCCCUACUCCCCUCUGUGAAGAUCCUUUCUUUUACUUUAUACAAUUUUUAAUUUGAAUUUGAGUCUCCAUCUUCUCUCAUAAAGCACCAACUAAGGGGCACUAUGAUCAUAUUUGAGCAUUGGGUGUAGCUAAUAUUCGAGUAUGUUUCAUGAAUGGAACAAUGGUUGAGCAUAAUGGGCUAGGGAUAACUUUCUUUAGUGUUGAUAUUUUGAAAGACAUGGCUGUUUGUUGGUAUGCUUGAGUAUUAAAGUCUUCAUGUCAAAACUAGACUAUUGCUUUGAACCAUAUAAAAGUUCAAAUGUCCAUGCUAUAAAGAAAAGAUUGUGUGAUGAACAUGUUAGGUAGCAUUCCACAUCAAAAAUUCUGUUUUUAUCAUUUACCUACUCGAGGACGACCAGGAACUAAGCUUGGGGAUGCUGAAUGUCUCCAAUGUAUCUAUAAUUUUUGAUUGUUCCAUGAUGUUAUAUUAUCAUCCUUGGAUGUUUUACAAUCAUUUCAUAUUCAUUUAUAUCAUUUUUUGGUACUAACCUAUUGACAUAGUACCCAGUGCGAGUUGCUGUUUUUUGCUUGUUUUUUACAUCGCAGGAAAUCAAUACCAAACGGAUUCGAAAUGCAGUGAAACUUUUUGUGGAUUCUUUUUGGACCAGGAGACAUCCAGUGCGCCAAGAAAGCACCUGAGGGGAGCACCAAGGGGAGCACAAUCCACCAGGGCGUGCCUGGAGGCCCAUGCGCGCCCUGGUGGGUUGUGCCCACCUCAGUGGCCUCCCGCACCGCCUCUUUGCUCUAUAAAUACCCCAAUAUUCCAGAAACCCUAGGGGAGUCGACGAAAAUCAAUUCCAGCCACUGCAAGUUCCAAAAACACGAGAUCCAAUCUAGACCGCAUCUCGGAGGGGUUCAUCAUGUCCAUUGGUUCCUCUCCGAUGAUCGUGAGUAGUUCUCUGUAGACCUAUGGGUCCGUAGUUAGCAGCUAGAUGGCUUCCUAUCUCUCUCUCUCUCUCUCUCUCUCUUGAUUAUCAAUACAAUGGUCUCUUGGAGAUCCAGAUGAUGUACGUCUAUUUCCGGUGUCUUUGUUGGGAUCUGAUGAACUUUGAGUUUAUGAUCAGAUCUAUGUUUUUAUCCAUGAAAGUUAUUUCAGUCUUCUUUGAUCUCUUAUAUGCAUGAUUGAUUAUAGCCACGUAUUUCUUUUUUGAUAUUUGGUUUUUUUUUGGCCAACUUGAUUUCUUUAUCUUGCAAUGCGAAGAGGUGCUUUGUGAUGGGUUCGAUCUUACGGUGCUUGAUCCUAGUGACAGAAGGAGAAACGACACGUAUGUAUCGUUGCUAUUAAGGAUAGCAAGAUGGGGUAUAUUUCUACAUAAAUAGAUCUUGUCUACAUCAUGUCUUCAUUCUUAUUGCAUUACUCCAUUUUUUCAUGAACUUAAUACACUAGAUGCAUGAUGGAUAGCGGUCGAUGUCUGGAGUAAUAGUUGUAGAUGCAGGCAGGAGUCGGUCUACUAAUCUUGGCUGUGAUGCCUAUAUAAUGUUCAUUGCCUGGAUAUCGUCAUGAUUAUUUGAAGUUUUAUCAAUUUCCCAACAGUAAUUGUUUUCCCACCGUUUGCUAUUUUUCUUGAGAGAAGCCACUAGUGAAACCUACGGCCCCUGGUCUCUUCUCAUCAUGUUUGCCUUUGUGACCUAUUUUCCUUUACUUUUAUUUUCAGAUCUAUCAGACCAAAAAUACAAAAAUACCUUGCUGCACUUUAUUUAUUUUGCAAACUAUUUAUCCUAUCUAUCAAAACUUUAUCAUGUCUUCCCGCCAAUUUGAGGCACGUUACCCAAAAGGGAUUGACAACCCUUUUAACACGUCGGGUUGCGAGUAUUUGUUAUUUGUGUGUAGGGGAUGUUUAUGUUGUGUUGCUUGGUUCUCCUACUGCUUCGAUAACCUUGGUCUCAUCACUAAGGGAAAUACCUACCGUUGCUGUGCUGCAUCAUCCCUUCCUCUUUGGGAAAUACCGACGUAGUUCAAGCAGGCAUCACCCCUCAACGAUCCUCGACCCAUCAACAACCGUCGACCCCUCGACCCCUGACCCCUCGGCAAUCCUCGACCCUUGACCCCUCGGCGGUCCUAUCGAACAACUUCACUGUGAGCAUGGUGCAGCUCUUGUUGUAGCUUAAGAUGAGGACAUGCCCGAGCUGAAGGUCAUCAGCGUGGGCGAACUGCUGCCAUCCGUUCUUCGCGCAUGGAUGGAAGCAGUUCUCCCAUGCUCAUGACCUUCAGCUUGGGGAUGUCCUCAUCUUAAGCUAUGAUACCAGUCGGUCAGCACUCGGACCGGAAGAUCCUCGGGCAUCGACCCCUCGACCCUCGACCCCUCGCCCCUCGAUCCCUCGACCCCUCGGCAACCCUCGACCCCUCGACAAUGCUUGACCCUCAACCCUCGACCACUAGGCAAAACUGUCGACCACCUUCACUAUGAGCAUGGUGCGACUGUUGUCGUAGCUUAACAUGGGGACGUGCCCGAGCUAAAGGUCAUCAGCGCGGGUGAACUACUUCCAUCCGUUCUUCAUGCACGGAUUGAAGCAAUUCACCCACGCUCAUGAUCUACAUCUCGGGAAUGUCCUCAUCUUAAGCUACGACACCAGUCGGUCAACACUCGAACUGGAAGAUCCUCGACCAUUGACCCCUCGACCCUCGACCCCUCAACCCCUCGGCAACACCUCGGCGAUACUUGACCCCUCGGCGACCGUCGACUCCUCAACCCAUGACUCCUCGGGAAUCCUCGACCCUCGACCCCUCGGCGGUCCUGUCGAACACCUUCACUGUUGAUACCUCUCCAUCAUAUCUACUUUUCCUAACGCUUUUCCUCUUGUUUUGGACCUAAUUUGCAUGAUUUGAAUGAAACUAACCCGGACUGACGCUGUUUUCAGAAGAACUACCAUGGUGUUGUUUUUGUACAGAAAUAAAAGUUAUCGGAAUGGAAUGAAACUUUGCGAGGAUUUUUUAUACAACAAAAGAGAAUUUCUAGAGCCAAGAAACACCGGAGGGGGCACAUGGAUGGUCACAACCCACCAGGGAGUGCCACCCCCUCCUGGCGCACCCAGGUGGGUUGUCCCCACCUGGUGGCCCCAUAGACCCUGAAACCGACGCUAUAAAAUCCUAUUUUUCCAGAAAAAAUAGGGGAGAAAGAAUUAUCGCGUUUCACAAGACAGAGCCACCCCGUCUCUUGUUCUUCAUCUGGAGGCCAGAUCUGGAGUCCGUUCGGGGCUCCAAAGAGGGGGAACUUUGAUCUUCGUCAGCACCAACCCUUCUCCAUCGCCAAUUCCAUGAUGCUCCCUGUCGAGAGUGAGUAAUUCCUUCGUAGGCUCGCUAGUCGGUGAGGAGUUGGAUGAGAUUCAUCAUGUAAUCGAGCUAGUUUUGUUAGGGCUUGAUCCCUAGUAUCCAUUAUGUUCUGGGACUAAUGUUGCUAUGACUUUGCCAUGCUUUGUAGCGACCAUGAUCCCAAUGGACCGAAGUCUCUGUGCUUAAGUAUCAUCCCUGUAUCGGUAAUGCUGACACACACAGUACUCGAGGAAUUAUAGCAAAGUUCAAGAACACACUUAUUAUAUCGAUGCCCUCAUAAAGAGUAUGAUUCCACAAAAAUAGUAUGGCUGAAGGCCAUCUAAACUAAAUAAAUGCGGAAGCUUCGAAGGUAAAUGAGUGCAUCAACUCCAAAGGCAUAGCUAAGUGCAAGACAACGACCUAUCGCACCUUAUUCAUCGUCUGAGUAGUCUGCAACAUGAGACGUUGCAGCCGUCUAGGUCAGCAUAUUGAAUAUACUGGCAGAGUUACACUGUAAAGCAAUGAAUGCAAGAACUAUAUCUACAUGCAAUAUUUGGCUGGUGGAGGCUCUAAGUUUAAGUUUGCAUAAAGCUAAUUUUUCCCUACAAUAAAGGAAUACAUUUAUUUGCUACUCCCAAGUUGUACCAAUAUUUGAGAAGGUUCCUCCAACUCAAAUCCCAAUUAAACAAGUAUCAUAAUUAAACCCAAUUCAAUUAAUUAAGGGUGAUGUGAUCAACAAUAAUAUCCAAUUCCAGAUACUCAAGAUGUCCAUAACCGGGGACACAUCUAACCAUGAUUAGUUUAUACACUCUGCAGAGGUUGCACACUUUUCCCCACAAGAUUCGACCGCCUCCAUGAUCGGAAGAUUGAGACAUAGUCUUUCUGAAGCAUUAACUCUACUCCGGGUAGACCGGUACACCUACUUUCCCCUACAUCUGCUAGUCCACCUCUUCGAGAGCUCAUACAACUUACUCAACUAUGCCAGAGACCGUAAUGGCUUGUGGCUGCACACGGAAGUUUCUGUUCAUGAAAUAUCAUAUAAUCCAUUUGAGCCUGGAUGGCGAACCAAGGAAAAAUCACAUGGGUACUCUGGGAUUUCGCAAAUGGACAAACACUGGAUUCUCCAAGUGCCCCAACCAAUCCACCUAGAUGUGUAUUAAAGUUGUCACCUUAAUGUUAUCCAAGAUUAAUAACUCUCACAACUUCCAUGUGUAUCACGAUCCAAUCACCGUCUACGAGCAUGGUUAAGCAAUAGUAGAGCAUAACGUAUAUUCCCGGGGUGAUCAAAAGGUAUUAGGUUCCUACCUCAAGUACUACAACUAAACCACAUGUUCCCAAUCCUACUCAUGCAAAUAUUUGAGGGGCAAUACUACUGCAUAGUUAAAACUGGGUAUAGAAGAGUAUGAUCAAAGUGUAACUUGCCUUGCUAACGAUCUGCAAACUAUAGAGAUUCAUAGUAACAAGAUUCGCACUCCGGAUAAUCUAGCGUAGACAAACAAUAGCAUACAUAAGCGAAUCAAUCAAACGAAACAAAUAGAAAUCGAGAAAAGAACCAAAUCAAACCCGAAACAAGCAAAUGACUAAACUAAAUAGAAAACAGAACCUAACAACAUUAUUUUCAUGUGGAUUAGAUCUUAACAGUAGGUACAUGUGAUGAGCUAUGAUUUGCAAAAAGAAUCAACUCAAACGGAGCUACGAAACUCAAGAAACAAAUGAAACAAGAUCGAAUACUAAUCUGAAAUAAACUCAAAUUUUAAAUUGUCAAAAUCAUGUUCAAGUUGGUUUACUAGAAAGAAGAGAUCGUUACGAAGAAUUAGGCAUUGGUUUCAUCUAAUUUGGAUAAGUGAGCUAAAAGUUACGCUAGUUUGAAGAUUAGGGGCUAAAUUGCGAUAAAGCUAUUCGCGGAUAGGUCCCUGAUCGAAAAUAAAACUAAAAAGAAAAAUCUACGGAAUAAACGUUCGCUAACAGAAUCUAACAAACGAAUUCGUUUGUUAAAAUAAACUAACGGGUGUAUGUUUGUUAACUAGACUAAAAUAAAAAGGAAAACCGAUCUAAACCUAAUAAACCGAAAACUAAACCGUCGGAUCGGGGACGGUUUUUACCGGUUAACCAAAGUCGACCGACGGCAGCGAGAUCCGGCGAAGCGGCAGGCUCCGCGGCGGCGGCAGCAGUGGCAGCUAGCGGCGGCGGGCGGCUGCAGCGCCGCGCAGCACAGCAGCAGCAGCGACGAUAAUGGGUCGAGGGUGCGGCGGCGCGGCCCGGGCGACUGUGGUGCUCGGGGCGGCGGUGCCUUGGAGAAGAGGGGGGGGGUCGGGGCGGCUUUUAAAGGCUCGGGGGAGGGGGUGGAUCCUACUUGGUGGAAGGACAAGGCGGCAGCGGCGCGGCUUGGGACUAUGUCCCGGGCGCGCUCGGGAAGGCCGGCCCAGGAACAUUUUUUUAAACGGUUUCCGUGAAGAAAAUCCUAAUAAAUAGAAAUAGAAGUCUGAAAAUUCCAGAAACAAUUUUCACCGUCCCUACCUAAUAUUUGGGACAAUAUGAACAUUUUUUGGGACUAAAUACAAUUUUGAAAAAUGCAUGUUUUCUCUAAUUCAAAUAAAAUGCAAAUAAAAUUCAAAUAAAAUAAUAAUUUGAUUUCAAAAUUUCAUUUCCAAUAAUCUCCUCUGUUUUGAAGAAGUCAUUUUAUCUUCACUCAUUUAUUUUUAUUGUUGGAAAUAAUUGGAAAGAAAUUGUUGAAAAUUGAAUUGAUCCUCUUUUCAAAUUUGAAAUAAAUUGAAAUAUGAAAAAAAUUGUGAAACCUCCAACUCUCUCCUUGGGUCCUUGAGUUUCUUAAGAUUUCAUGGAUCUCAACCAAAUGCAAAUAAAAUAUGAUAUGCAUAUGAUGAUCUAUGUAUAACAUCGAAAUUGGAAAUUGGGAUGUUACAUGCUUAAUGCUUGUCACUUUGGGCCCCUAUUUCUUGAUUUCAGAUCUGAAUUGUUUAUGUUAUCACCAUUAUAUCUAUGUUCUAGAUCCGACCUUGCAACUUAUAGUCACCUACUACGUGUUAUGAUCCGGCAACCCCGGAGUGACAAUAGUCGGGAUCACUCCCGAUGAUGACCGUAGUUUGAGGAGUUCAUGUAUUCACCGGGUGCUAAUACUUUGUUCCUCUCUAUUAAAAGGAGGCCUUAAUAUCCCUUAGUUUCCAAUAGGACCCUGUUGCCAUGGGAGGGUAGGACAAAAGAUGUCAUGCAAGUUGUUUUCAUAAGCAUGUAUGACUAUUUACGGAAUACAUGCCUACAUUAUAUUUAUGAACUGGAGCUAGUGUCAUAUCGCCCUAGGUUAUGACUGUUUCAUGAUGAAUAUCAGCCAAUGAAUCACCGAUCCAAUGCCUACGAUUUUCCUACAUAUUGUUCUUACUAAGUUACUACUGGUGUUGUUAUUAUCGUUAUUGCUACAAAACUAUCACUAUCACUAUUACCGUUACUGAUGCUGCUACCAUUACUAUGAAAACUAUCAUAUUACUUUGCUACUAAGCACUUUUCUACAGAUAAUUAUUCUCCAUGUGUGGUUGAAUUGACAACUCUGCUGCUAAUACUUACAAAUAUUCUUUGGCUCCCCUUGUGUCGAAUCUAUAAAUUUGGGUUAAUUACUCUACCCUCAAAAACUGUUGUGAUCCCAUAUACUUGUGGGUUAUCAAGAACUUUUUCUGGAGCCGUUGCCGGGGAGCAGAGCUAUAUUUGUUGAGUGACUUGGGAUUAUUAUCAAAUUAUCAUUAUGAAGAAUCUGAAGGAUGCUAAGACUAAGAUUUUUUUCCUCUAAGAUGAGGGGAGGUAAGGAACUAUCGUCCAACUCUGGUUUAGAUUCACCUUCUGUUAUAAAUAGACUUGCAACACCACCACAUGUUAUUAAUUCUGAUAUGUCGCAAAUUAUUGAUGAUGCUACCUAUACUAUGAAUGCUACUCAUGAUGAUGCUAGUACCUUGCUUGAUGAUAAUGUGCCACUAGAUGAAUUUCUUGAUGAACAAAUUGCUAGAGUAAGACAACAUGAUAUUGUUGAAACUGAUGAUGAGAUUGAAACUGAAAAUCUUGAAACACCCAUUAGAACUAGCCCUCCUAGAUAUGAAUUGCCAAAAGUACCUCAAGGUUAUGUUAUUGGUGAGGAGGCAACUACAGAUAUUCUUGCUUGUAAGGAUAGAGAUGAUCUAGAAAAAUUAUUAUGCAAGUAUAAAGAAAGAUCUUUGAAUGCUAGAAUGAAAUGUGAUCCUAAGUUUGCUACUUCACCUAUAUUUAUUGAUGAUAAGGAUUAUGAAUUCUCUGUCGACCCAGAGCUAUUUACUUUGGUUGAAUCUAAUCCUUUCAAUGGAUAUGAAACUGAAACUGUUGUGGCACAUCUUACUAAGUUGAAUGACAUAGCCACCCUUUUUGCUCAUGAUGAGAAGAUUCCCUAUUAUUAUAUUCUCAAGUUAUUUCCAUUCUCAUUAAAUGAUGAUGCUAAAGAUUGGUACAAUACUCUUUCUCCUGGUUGUGUGCAUAGUCCCCAGGAUAUGAUUUAUUACUUCUCUGAAAAAUAUUUCCCUGCUCAUAAGAAACAAGCUGGCUUGCAGGAAAUAUUUAACUUUGUGCAAAUUGAAGAAGAGAGUAUCCCACAAGCUUGGGGGAGGCUUCUCAAAUUGCUAAAUGCUUUGCCUGACCAUCCUCUUAAGAAAAAUGAAAUACUUGAUAUCUUCUAUAAUGGACUAACCGAUGCUUCUAGGGAUUUCCUAGAUAGUUGUGCUGGUUCUAUUUUCAGGGAACGAACUAUUGAGCAAAAUGAAGAAUUAUUGAAUAACAUAUUGAAAAAUUAUGAUUAUUGGACUCCUCCUGAAACACCGCCUAAACCCACUCCGAAGAAGAGGGGUAUCUUGUAUCUUAGUCCUGAAGAUAUGUAAGGCCAAGAAAUCUAUGAAGGAAAAAGGUAUUAAAGCAGAGGAUGUUAAAAAUUUACCUCCUCUUGAAGAAAUACAUGGGCUUUAUACACCACCACCAACUAAGGUGAUAGAGGUAAAUUCUUUAAUGAAAUUCAAUGAUAUAUAGUGAUAAUCCUCAUAAUAAACAUCCUAGCCAAUGCCUUUAUGAUUUUGACAAUUACAUUAGAAAGCAAGAUCACUUCAAUGCAAAUGUUAUGAAACAAUUUAAAUACAACUCUGAUACGAUUGCUCGCUUAAGUGACUUGCUAUUUAAAAUCUCAAAUUAUGUUAGAGGUGUAGGAAAGCAUGCUUCUAUUGUUCAAACUCAAUUAGAACAAGUUGCUAAAUCUCAAAGAGAGUUGCUUGAUGAAAUGAACAAUAAUAUAAGUGACUUUUCUAUUAGAGUAGCAACUAGAGGAGGUAAAAUGACUCGGGAACCACAUUAUCCUGAGGGACACCCAAAGAUAAUUGAACAAGACUCUCAAAGAAUUAACACUGAUGCACCUAGUCCUUAUAAAAAGAAAAAUAAGAAGAAAAAUGAUAGGACUUUGCAUGCCUCUAGUGAACCUGAGGUAGAAAAACCUCCUGAUAAUGAUAAUGAAGUUUCUAUCUCUAAUGCCGAAACUCAAUCUGGUAGUGAACACUCAUCUUCUGACAAUGAAAACGAUAAUCAUGAGGUUCAUGAAGAUACUCAAACUAAUGAUAAAGAACCAGACAAUUAUGUUGAGAUUGAACCAGUUGUUGAUCUUGAUAACCCACAAGCCAAGAAUAAAAGAUAUGAUAAAAUAGACUUUGUUGCUAGAAAACACGGUAAGGAAAGAGAGCCAUGGAUUAAAAAACCUAUGCCCUUUCCACCUAAGUCAACUAAAAAUAAAUAUGAGGAAGAAUUUGAACGCUUUGCUGAAAUGCUGAAGCAAGUCUUUUUGCAUACACGUUUGACUCAUAUCUUAAAAAUGCCUCCUUAUGCAAAGUACUUGAAAGACAUCAUCAGCAAUAAGAGAAAAAUACCAGAACCUGAAAUCUCCACCAUGCUUGCCAAUUACACAUUUAAAGACGGUGUACCUAACAAACUUGGAGAUCCAGGAAUACCAACUAUGCCUUGCUCCAAUAAAAGAAAUUAUGUGAAAACCUCUUUAUGUGAUUUGGGAGCUCGUGUUAGUGUUAUGCCUUUCUCUUUAUAUAAAAGACUUUAUUUGAAUAAACUCAGGCCUACUCAAAUAUAUUUGCAAAUGGCUGACAAAUCCACUGCCAUCCCUAUUGGUAUUUGUGAGGAUGUGUCUGUUGUUGUUGCUAAUGUUACUAUUUUGACUGACUUUGUUAUACUUGAGAUGCCCGAGGACGACAACAUGUCGAUUAUCCUUGGUAGAAACUUCUUCAAUACUGCAGGGGCUGCUAUUGAUUGCAAUAAAAGCAAGGUCACUUUUCAUAUCAAUGGUAAUGAGCAUACGUUGCACUUUCUGAAGAAACAAUUUCAAGUGCAUGGUAUUAAUGUUAUUGAAAAAUCUCCGACAAUCACUACUGGAAGUUUGCAAUUACCUCUACCUACUUUUAAAAAGAAAUAUGAAAUGCUUAUUAUUGCGGACAUUCAUAUCCCCGUUGAGAUAACUUAGUGAUUUAUGAAAGGUCUUCAGUUUCGUGCUAAUCGAAAGUGGUUGUUAAUAAGACUUCAUCAACCUUAUUAUUGGAUCAUUUUUUAGAGGUAUGAAGUUGAUGAAUUUAGUGAGCACUACCUUCUGUCCCUACCUUUUGUUUUCUGUUUUUCUUGAUUAAAUAAAAUAAAAUGCCAUGCUUUAUCUCUUUUCUGAGUUUCCUGUGCAAUAAAAAAUGACUCAAAAAUAAAAGUUCUCAGAAUGCUCUGAAAAUUUAAUACGAUUUUUUUUCUGAAUAUUUAAGAAUUCUGGUGCAAAUAAUACAAGAGAGAGGUGCAUUAGGUGGGCACAACCCACCUGGGCGUGCCAGGACCCCCAGGCGCGCACUGGUGGGUUGUGGUCCCCGCGUGGGCCCCCUCACUUACUUCUUCUUCCCACAUCACCACAUUCCUCCAGAAAAAAAUCACCAUUUCUCUCUCUCUCGUGUUCUUGGUCCCGAAACCACGGAUUUUUAUCUCUUUACUCGAAGCUCCAUUUCUGGAACUGUUUCGGGGGAUUGUUGCUUCAUAUGUGACUCUUCCAUGUGUCCAAUUAGUUUUUGCUUUAUGGUUUAUAUUUUGAAUAAUUAGCUACUCUUGAUGCUAAUGUAGAUGAGCUUGCAUGUUGAAUUCUUAGAGUUCUAAGUAGUUUGAAUGCUUGCUAUGGCCUCUAUACAUCCCUAUGAGUAGUUGCUACCAAUCUUGUGAAGUUUUGUUAACAAACUUUUGUGACCCAAUUUUUUCAAAAAAUUGUACGCAAAGAUGAUGAACCUCUUUGGAAGGAGUUCUUCAAGGCGGAGAUCCUCAGAGGCAUCCUCCAGUAGUAGCUCCACUUGUCGGUCUUAUGUUGAACCAAGUGAAAGUUCCACUCGAGAUGCCGCCACCAAAAUAUGCUUAUGGCCAUGCAAUGAUAAUAUGGUUAGUGUGGGCAUUAAGGAGGAAUUUGAGCAAUAUGUUCACAAUGCCGAUCUUGGUCCCUACAUUUCAGAUAAGUGCAACUAACACCCCACUCUCAUUGAAUCAUUUUUCAAAGGAUUUAAAUUCCAUCCCUGUGAGUCUAGGGUGUCAUUUAAAGUGUAUGAAAAUCCAUUUACCAUAUCUUUAGAGAGAUUUGCUCGCCACUGCAAAACCCAUUCUGGGGUUCGCUCAAUGAACUGCCAAGUUCUGAGUAUGAGAUAUUCUUGAGUAGUCUUUGCUAUGGUGAGACUGGGGGGUGAUGCAAGGUAGAAUAAAGAGCAUUCAUUUUCCCGCAAUCCAGUACUUUCCAUUAUUUAAUGGAAAAUGUAUUGUGGGCAAACAAGAUUGUAGUACACUUUGUGCUCCAGACUUGAGCCUCAUACGCACCACUCUCACCGAUGACAGAAGUUAUAAUCUUGGAGCGACUGUUGCAUGUAGGUUGCAACACAACGCUGGUAGUUGUUAUUUUUAUGGUGGAAUUUAUGCCACACGCUUAGCAAGAGAGCUGGGUGUUUUAACUUUCAAUAUGAUCCUAAUUUACCCACGUAGUACCUAGACUUUGAUGCUAUGAAACAUCAUGAGAUCCUUAGAGGUGAUCCCCAUAAUUUCACUUAUAAAUUGCUGUUUAAUAAGGACUCCGUGGUGGACACAUAUUAAUUUGCUUGCACCUUCUCUCUUUAAUGUUCACAACAGGGGAAGAUAUUAUGUUCUUCAGAGCGAGGCCCGAGCUCAUAACGCAGCGGUUGUGGCUGCAUGGCGGGCUGAGGCAUCCGCACCGAGAGCCUCCGUGAGCUACCACUCCAACCAUUACGCAGGCUACUAACUGGUUACCAAGUUAAGCGAAACUCCUAAGCUUGGGGGAGUACGCAUUUCCACCGAGAUUGCAUUCAUGUUCACACAUUUCAUUCCAGUUGUCGGUGUUCACACUUUUUCAUUGUAUUAUCCAUGUUAAAUUUGUUUUCUCGCUUUCUUCUUGUGUGUUUGAAAAACUUUGAGAAAAUCCAAAAACUUAUUUCUUGCUUAUUUUCGAUUUUUCUUCCUAGUUUAAAUUGUUGUAGCACUAAAAAGAAAACACAGAAAUAUUUCCUUGUUUUUCUUUUACGUGUUUGGAGCUUUCCCGUGUAAAUAGUUUUGCUCGUUUUUGCUUUUCCUUUCUAAUGUCCUUGUUUACAAAAAACCAAAAACUCCGAAAAUGUUUCAGUGUGUUUCUCUGAAUUUCUUUUCUUCUAUUCAGUGAUACCGAGGAGAAGACCAUGAUGAAAAUGUUGAGUGGCUCUCAUAUGCAUUAUUGUUGAUCUUAAGAGUCAAUAUUACCUUGUCUUCUCCUUUUGAAUAAAAUGUUUGCAGAUUCCACCUUAGUCCACGGCAUUCUUGCACUAUUAUUAUUUUGAAAUCAUUUGGUCGUGCAAGUGAAAGGCAAUAAUGGUGAUAUUCGAUGAACUGGCCGUGGAAGAGAGAAAUGGGUAUGAACUCGACUUGUUCUGUUUUUGUAAAUAUGUUUAACCUAGUAUUCAUGAUUCAGCCUAUUAUGAUCAAACAUGUUUGCAAUGACAAUUAGAGAUUAUAGUUUCUCAUGCCAUGCAUAAGUAGCUAGGAGUGGAUAAUGAUUUAUCUUAGAUGUCAACAUUGGUUUAAAGUGAUUGUGAUGUAGUAUGAUGAUAUGGUAUCCUCCUCUGAAUGUCUGAGUGGCUUGACUUGGCACAUGUUCAUGCAUGUAGUUGAAUCAAAACCAACAUAGCUUCUAUGAUAUUUAUGUUCAUGGUGUUCAUAUCCUACUCAUGCUAGUAUCUAAUGUUACUUAUGCAUAAUGCAUGUUCAUGACCAUUGUUGCUCUCUAGCUGGCCGCUUCUCAACCUAUUUGCUAGCCUUCGCCUGUACCAAGUGGGAAUUAUGCUUGUACAUCAAAACCUGAAACCCAAGUUAUUCCAGAUGAGUCCACCAUACCUACCUAUAUGCGGUAUUACCCUGUCGUCCUAAGUAAAUUUUCAUGUGCCACCUCUAAAAACUUCAAAUAAAUAUGCUUUUUGUGUGCCUGGAUUGUUCAUAGAGCGACAGGAGGUAGUUGGUAUCUUCCAUGCUAAGCGGGUUAUUCUCAGGAUGGUUGUUUAUUCACUCAUAAUUGCACUAGAAAAGGGGCAGUAAUAGGGAUUCCCAGUCCCAAAUUGCAAAAAGAGCUUAUGAAUAAUCAAACGAAAACUCCUAUGGAGCAAUAACCUUUACUUUAUCGCUUGGGAACCGCUACUAAUGUGUUUAGCAUGGAAGAUAUUGAUAAUUGAUGGUCGAAAAGUAAACAAGAAGGGUGCAUGUCUCAAAAUUUCAUUUACCUCUGUUUUAAAAACUUGAGCUCUGGCACCUCUACAAAUCACUGCUUCCUUCUGCGAUGGGACUAUCUAUUUACUUUUAUGUUGUGUCAUCACCUUCUCAAAUAAGCACCAGAAGUUGAGAGAACUUUUGUCAUGUUGAUGCAUUAUGUGUAGCUAAUGUUGGGUGCGUCAUGAAUGGAUAUUUCUACCAUGAAUUACAAUAGUCGCUGCUUGAACUUUGGGGAUGCUCUGCAUUUAUGUAUUGCAGUCUCAGAAACGGCUAGCGAAAUACCACUUUGGUCAUACUGUAUCAUGGUUGCUUUGACAAUGUGUUGUUCUUUGAGAUGUCUUAUUAUUGCUCGCUAGUUGAUUAUGUCAUUGAUAUGAGUUAAUAUAAUUUUUAAGACUUAUUGUCGACAUGGUUAGUUAUAAUCUUUGCUGAAAACUUGGGUGUUUAAGCUUAUUUAUGGAAACAAGAGCAAAAGACUUCAUAAAAGUUUUUCUUUUUCACUUUCAGUUUAUCAACUGAAUUGCUUGAGGACAAGCCAAGGGUUAAUCUUGGGGGAGUUGAUACGUCUCCGUCGUAUCUACUUUUCCUAACGCUUUUCCUCUUGUUUUGGACUCUAAUUUGCAUGAUUUGAAUGAAACUAACCCGGACUGACAUUGUUUUCAGCAGAACUACCAUGGUGUUGUUUUUGUGCAGAACUAAAAGUUCUCAGAAUGGAACAAAACUUUGCGAGGAUUUUUAUAUAAUAAAAGAGAAUUUCUUGAGCAAAGAACAAUUAUCUAUUUUUGCCCUCGUUAGUAAUAAUAGGAGCGAUCCAAAUAAUCUAUGCAGCUUCAACUUCUCUUGGUCAACAAAAUUUCAAAAAAAGAAUAGCUUAUUCCUUUGUAUCUCAAAUGGGUUUCAUAAUUAUAGGAAUUGGUUCCAUAACCAACGUUGGACUCAAUGGAGCUAUUUAGAAAUAUUAUCCCAUGGAUUUAUUGGUGCUACACUUUUUUUCUUGGCAGCAACCGCUUCUGAUAGAAUGCGUCUUGUUUAUCUCGAAGAACUGGGGGGAAUAUCUAUCUCAAUGCCUAAAAGUUUUACCAUGUUUAGUAGCUUUUCAAUGGCUUCUCUUGCCUUACCAGGAAUGUGUGGUUUUGUCGCAGAAUUAGUAGUAUUUUUUGGACUAAUUACUAGUCCAAAAUUUCUGUUAAUGCCAAAAACACUAAUUACUUUUGUAAUGGCAAUUGGAAUGAUGUUAACUCCUAUUUAUUUAUUUUCUAUGUUACGUCAGAUGUUCUAUGGAUACAAGCUAUUUAAUGUUCCAAACACAAAUUUUGUGGAUUCUGGACCAUGACAACUCUUUAUUUUAAUCUGUAUAUUUUUACCAGUAAUAGGAAUUGGUUUUUAUCCAGAUUUUGUUCUCUCCCUAUCCGUUGACAGGGUAGAGGCUCUCUUAUCCAAUUAUUAUCCUAAAUAGGUUUAUUUUUUACUCGUCUACUCUAUUAAUGCAGAAAUAAGUAAAAAGUAUAAUUAGAUCUAUCUCAAAUUUUUGAGAACCCUUUGAGAAGGCGUUCAAGGGGUUCUCAAAUAAAACAUAAAAGUAAAAACCUUCAUUCCAUGAAGGUUUUAUUUUAUGUAAUCAUUUAGGUGUUAAUGUAAACGAACCAUAACUAUGUAAGACUAUUCCUAAUAGAUUUAUACCAAAAUAACAAAUCCAAAUUAUAAGAAAUCCUAUCAAAGUUAUAAGUGCAAAAUUCGUACCCUUCCAAUUCGGAUUUGUUCUACUAUGUAAAUAAAUUGUGAAUAUGGUCCAAGUAACAAAUGCCCAAGUUUCCUUAGGAUCCCUAUUCCAAUAGGAUCCCCAGGCCUCAUUAUCCCAUACCGCUCCACAAGGAAUACCUAUGGUUAAAAGGGUAAAUCCUAGGCUAAUGACACGGUAACUCCAAGAAUCCAAACGCUCCGUUAAUUGAUAUUUGUAAUAAUUUGGAAAUGAAGGGACAGAGGUUCUUCUUAAAGCACUUCUUUUUGCAUAAAAAUAUUUAAUAUCACUAAAGAUAAAUGUUUUAUUUAAAAUAUUUUUUUAUUUUUAGAAAAGAAAUGGAAAUUAUUUCAAAAUCUAAUGAUUAGAAUAGUGGCAGAUAAUAAGGAUCCGCACAAAAGAGUUGCAUAGCUUAAUAACAUCAUACUGACAUGCAUCAUUAACCACUGAGAUUGUAGAGUAGGUACUAUUAUCGUGGAUUGAUGCAUUUCAGUUAAGAGAACCGAUGUGGCAAAGCCUUGCGUAAAAUAGUACUUGGCAUAGUUAUUGUGCUUAAAUCAUUUUUAGAGUUCUAUAUUUUAGGAAUGGUAUGAAGACUAUACAGGGCCCAUGAAAGGAAGAUCAAUGACUCAUAUAAAUUACUUAAUGGAAAAUGUCCCGAGGAAGCCCAACGAGAAACUAAGAAUCCUGUUAUAGAGGAAAAAGUAACUAUCAUUCCUUUUUCUGACGAAUCACGUAAUCCUUCAAGUUCACGAACUAAUAAGGUUAUCAAAUGAAUUGUAAUCACAAUUGAAAUCGUUGAGAAAGAGAUAUGAGUUAGUAUAUGUUCUAAAGUUGCAAAUAGCAUAAGGGGAAGGUCCCAUUACAAAAUUGUAAAUUUCGAAUUGAUUUCUAAUCUAUUGUAUUCUUUUUCAAGAAUGCCACCACUCGGAUUCGAACCGAGAUGCUUGAGCACUGCUUCCUAACAGCGGCGUGUCGACCAAUUUCACCAUGGCGGCUAACUUCAAAUAAUAGGUAACUUAAAAUAAUAAUACCUAUUAUCUUGGGAUCGUCGAUAUUGGGAAAGUCCAUAAAAUUUUGGAACAUUAGAGUUUUCAUUAAAAUAGACUUUGUUUGGUAGUAUCAUUUCUAUUUUUUUACAAUAAACUCUUGCUUUGCCCAAUAGAAACAAAAACACUGCUUGAAACAGCUGGAACUUCUUUUUUCUAACUUGCAAUUAUAGAACUAAUUUUUUCUAAUUAAUUUCUCGUUUACAUUUUGAAAAUUCUUUCAAUAAAAUGAAAAAAAAAAUCCAAAAGGGUUUCUAUUUAAUGAUGAAAUUAAAAUGAAUAAAUAGAAAAGGCUUUUUGGAUUUUUUUUAAAAUUUCUGGAAUAAAAGUCUUUAUGCUCUUAUUAAUAAGAUUUACUAACCUUAUGAUUUUGGAGAAGAUAGAUAGAAGUUGUAAGUCCUAUUGUAAGAAUACUCCACUUUUCAUAUUUUUCAUAAUAAAAUAUGGGGAUUCUAUUAUGAAAAUUUUGAAAAGUUCAUUGAUAGGAAAAGAAUACUUAGCACACAGUAUACCAAACAAAACUUUUUUUCUUGUAUAUAUAAGAGGGGUUUUUUGUUCUAAGAAUGUUGUACCGAGUAAUUCGACACAUAAAAGUACAUUCAAAGAAGAAUCAAAAUUAUUAAAUAAUUGGAAUUCUUUUUUGAUAAGUCAAUUCAUAUUAUUCCAAAAUCUUAUUAUUUGUUUGUUGCCCAGAAAAACCCUUUGGUUUUGGAUUCUCAUUACCGCUCGAAAAUGAUCUUAAUUUUACUAAAGAAUUAGAUUGUACUAUGGAAAAAUAAGUCUUUUUCUUCCAAAUAUUUUUACGAAUACGUUUUUUUGACAUUGAAGUACAUUUUCUGGAACUGCCAUUCAAAAAGGAAAUUACUUUUUUCUAGUUGUAUGUGGAAGACAUCUAUUGUUGCAAAUCAAUCAUUCUUUCUUCUUUUUAUUAGUAUUUAUACUUAAAUAUUGAAAGAUACGUAAAUUUUGAAUUAAUUUUUACUUCGUUUUGUCUAAUGCGGAUAAGACAACAAGAAUUUUUUUAAAAAAUUAUUUUUAUAUUUUAUACUUGUUUUUUAAUAAUAUAGAAUAUAUAGAAGGGUUUCUCAUUUAAAUCUAUUUAUAUCUAUUUAUAUAUCAAGCAUACUCCAUAUAUAGAUAUAUGGUAUGGAAGCCUAUCCCCCAUAUAAGAUAAGACCGGGGGAUAAAAAGAAGGGAAAAUGAAAAUAGUUAAUUAAGUUCAGAAUGGUAUUCCAUAAAGGAAAGGAAUUCCAAUCAAAACAAAAAAUACUGAGUCUCUUAAACAAGACAUUCUAAAACUUAGGUAAUUUAUAGUCAUUAGGAUUUUAGUUCUAUAUGAAGUAAGGUAAUAGGAGCGAUCCCUCGAUAAGGCUGCGGAGAGAUGAAGCAAGCAAGAUACUCGCCUUUGCACACUUUGCGCACCGCUUCGACUAGACCCCGCUACUACCUCGUAUCCAAAUACCUGCAAUCUAGAUCAUUCUUUUUUAAACCCUGCAAGCCUAAUAGAACCUUGUUUCCUAGGCCAAGUUAUCCGACAAGUAAGUAGGGCUGAAGACAAUUUGUUUGUUAGUUUUUCAAUCUUCUUCCUUCUAUGGUUAUAGUAAGUGGAAAUGACCUCCUUGAUCAGCAAGUAAGCGAGCGGUAGUUUAGUCUCCGACAAGUGAGGCCUAAUAGCCCCAGGUGUUCUUUUCCUUCUAAACAAGCUGCUCUCGCUUGACUCUUCUAGUGAGCAAGCAAACUGGUCGGGGCACAGGGUCGGAUCAAAGUAAGGAAUGGGAAUAGCACUCACUCGUUGAAGGUAAGCCAGAAACAUGGGUUAUCCUCUCCCUUACUUAAGUCCUAGUCCAUCUUUUCGUGCCCCAAAGGGGAAGUCAAGCAAUAAUGGGGGAACUUGACCCACACGUAAUGAAAGAGUUUGGUAGCUCGAAGGAAGCAGAAGCAAAACCUGCUUUCUUUCUGUCCCAACCUCCAAGGGUGCCUCCCUGUAUGACAUAGUCCAUUGGAUUGGGGUAAUGGUAUGCACCUAUUUUUGGUGUCCCCUCUCUCACUUCCUCGUCAGAUCCUGGUCCCAAAGGGCAAUACAUUGAGUCAGAAAGACGGGGGGCUUUCGUAAAUUCUAUUCUGUAGCCGAACUAGCCCCUGGAUCAGCUCUCAUAGUGGGAGAAUCAGAGUCAAGUUAGGCGCAAAAGAGGGGGUUGACAUCAUUCGUCGUGAUUGGAUCAAUCAGACUCCCCCACAGGAAAUGCCAAGGGGCGCCCUUUCUCAUUAUCAUCUACCGCCCAUUUCUUCAUCAUCUGCUGCUGCCUUAAGUGCAUAAAGUAGGCUCAGCUUCUUAGGUUUCUAGAUAUCUUGAAGUAGCCGAAGGUAGUCCAGUCCACUUGUUAGAUUGAAUUGAAUCUUAUAUAACCUACGUAGCUAAAGAGAAAAUCAUAAUUGUCUAAGUGGACCUCUCAAAGGUAUAAAUAAGUAGACAUUAGUCUUGCUCGUUCGGUCUUUUUCUUUUUUUGUUAUGAUGCCCACAUUUCAUACUUCUCAAUUUUUAUUUAUUCAAGGGUUCGUAUGUACUGAGUGACCCCAGGUCUAUUCAAAUGCAGGUUCAAGAGAGCUUUAUUUGGCCUUUGUAUGACCGUCUUCCCUUCCUAUCUAUCUCCUUCGGUCAGCCAGUUCUGCUUCCGAUGUUGGAGGAGUAGGGUGGGAUAGAAGGGUAGUUUCUGAGUUCAAGAUGUCUGAGCUUGGAGGUUCCGCUUCUCUACUAUGAUAAUAAAGCAACAAGCAACGCCGCUCCCGUGCGCUCAUCCCUUGCUUGUUCUUGAGCGCUAGUCAUUCAUCCCUAGCUAGGUUCUCAGGAUAGGUUGAUUCUCUUUAUGAUGAUGUAAGCGUUGGCAACAAUGAAUAAGGAAUAAAUCGGAAGUUUGCGCCAAUCGAUCUUCUGUAGGAGUAGGAGGUAGCGUGAAUCCCCUCUUUCUUCCCUUAGAAGAGUGCUAGACCUCCACAACAUCAAACCAUAGAACACAGCUCCUUUCGGUCGAACCCUAGGAAAGACGACUUUACCUUUUUCGUAGAUAGUCUGAGUUCGAGCUACUGUAGUCCCCCCGUUGACCUUCUUUUUUAGAUAGAAUCGUCAAUGAGUGGAAAGGACUCCCAUCCCAGACUUGCUACACAGUACUAUACCAUACAGAGCCGCGCCCUUGUGAUAUGAUCAGAAGAAAAGGGGCCAGGCCGCCCUCUUUUCUUUUCUGCACCAAGCCUUCUUGUAAAAUUGGGUGUAUAACUCAGUUGGUAGACCAUUGGGCUUUUAACCUAAUGGUCGCAGGUUCAAGUCCUACUAUACCCAAAAGAAAAAAAACCACUCUUGUAUUCGUAAGGAUGCAUAGUAGCCGUCAAAGAGAACUCUUUGGCCUUGAGAAAAGCCCCUUUCUCUUGAACAUCUCGACUUUGCUCUUUGUUUGAGGUAAGUAUAAAGGAGGUCAGACCUGUCUCGGGAAUCAAAGGAUACAGAAAUAUGGAACCGAGCAAAGAUUAUAGGAAACAAGCAAACAGAACAGGUUGGAUCCCAUCUUUAACUGCACAGAGCAGCAACCUUCCCGAGAGUCGAGGAACAACAGAUGAGAUAGCUGAAAGGGGGGACCCUAGGUAAUAGGUUUCCUUUUCCGGUUUAGGCUUGAGAUAAAUCAGGAACUGAACUGAGCACUCCACAAGUAUGGAUUGGAUUGUUUCAUUCUGAUACCAACUUUCAUGCUGGAAGAUAAGGUUGCCAUACUGGGAAAGGGGGAAAGGAAAUAGGAUCCCCUCUCUUCUCUAAAGGAAUGAACUUCUCCUCGCCAACCACUAGCACUAUACUUAGGUUAGGCGCAAUAGGUGACUUAUGUUGGGUUGUCUGGAUCAAUCCUACAAUGAAUAGCUCUCUUUCCUGUUAAUGGAACACUCACUAGAUUCUGCUAAAUAAGGAUAACUACAAAGAUAAGCCGGGUCAUCCAAAAAUCCAGGAAAUAUUUCCUGGAUUUUCUGCAUGGCAUAUUUCCUAUCAUUUCACAACCUACUUUUUUUCUUAGUUAGAUACUAUAGCACCUUCCCUUCAUGGGGAGAUGUUUAUAUAUCAUCUAAAUUCAUUCAUUCAUUCAUUACUUACUUGCUCUUCUUUCCCAGUGAUCGGAAUAGGGAUUUCCAUGGAUUGUAGGCCCUCGAUUGUAAUGAUGGUAUCAAUGAAAGAUGAAAUAAGAUGAUACUAUUUAAAGCAAUGGUUGAUAGAGCGUGGUCUAACCUUGGUUGGGUAGAUUGAGAAGCAAACCACUAAGAAACUAGACUAUAGCCCCGAGAAAACAAGCAGUUCGGAAAAUCAAGUCAAGAAUACGGUGGCGAUGCAGCAACGGUAUGCAUUCCUGCAAGGGGUAGUGAAAAGCUAUUAGGGGGAAGAGAUAGGUUUCUUAUUCUAAGCCAAAUUACUAUACCAUAAGGAGAUUACCAUUAUGAGAUGACACUUGAGAGGGCACUUUAAAGUGAUUGAACCCACUUUCCAUGUUAGAUUAAGCAACAAUAUCGCUAGGGACCAAAGUAGUGAAAAUGACAGCUCCAUUUUCCACAACUUUCUGUCUCAUAAGACUGUGAAACUACACAAUUUGACAUUCCCCUUGGGACUCGCCUAGUAGAAAAGUACACAAUUGACUAAGAACAUUGGAAGGUGGUACGAAAAUACUCAUCGGGUCUUUCGUUCCAGUAGUCAUGAUAUAGCUUCUAUCUUUGACCGCUCUUAAGGUGCCCACACUCUUGGCUUGAAUCACCAACUUGUGUUUCGGUUUAACCGAAAAGCAGAAUCCUAUCAUUUCACUACUCGACAGAGACUCCUCAUUCAUCCAUCGGAUAGGACACCCCAUCUAUAGACCAAGAGAAUGAGAUAUUGAGUUUUUUGACAUCUGUAACUACAUACUCACAUUUGUUUUUUGAUCUCAUGACUUUUUAUGCGAUCGGAAAACAAAUGAGAUCAGAAAUAUAGGCAGAUGACUUGACCAUAAGGUAGGAUGUUUUCGUGAGCAGUAAGCAGCGGAUCUCCCCUUUUUGGGGGAAAGCUGGUUAAACAAAACUAGGGAUAGCUAGCAGGUAUUUUCUAAAGGUUCAAAAAGAAGGUAUUUCAAAAGGGCUUUGGCAAAGGAGGUUCACCUUGCCUGCUUUCCUUGUCCUCCGUUCAUCGAUAUCCUAUACUAGAUACCUUUGCCUUUUCCGGGUGGAGGCAGUAGGCUAUUCUCAUUCUUAGCUUUAUAUGCCGAAACAUGCCAUUGCGUAGGCUCGUAGGCGUAAUUCGUAUUCAUAUUUGUUAUUGGCAUACGUAAUUUCCUACUACGUCUAUCACUCAUAGGAAUAUCUCUAAAUAGGAAUUGUAGUCCUCGUAUGUACAUCUUUCGUAUUGUGAUAAAGCACCUAUGCCGCUAGAAAUAGUAGCACCUUAAAGAAGGCGUUCUAGGUUCUUUUUCCCCUGGUUUGUAUUAGAGCUGACCACUAAUAAUAGGCAAAAUGAAGCAUUUGGUGUGUUUUAAUUCAUUCUCAAUCUUAUUUCCCCUUGCACUCCGAGGGAAAUAAAGGGGAAAUCAGUGAUUCAUUUGGAGCUAUUUUCUAACUGACUCAUUGACAUGAGAGAUUGGAUGCGAUGCGCGAGUCACUCGUACUACAGCGGACAAAGGUCAUCGGCAAAUGAUCGUUCAACAAUGGAACCUGGCACUACUGUUUGCCCUCAGGGCCGACCCACCUUUUCAGAGAAACAGACACAUGCCAUCACUAUAUUACGCAUUUUCGAGAUAAGAAAGUGGAGAAUGCACUCUUCCCUUUUCUUUACAUUUGAAACUCAUGUUCAUGGUCUGUUUUAUUCCCAAUUGUUGCUCGUGUGAAAAGAAAGAAGAGAAAUUGGGCCAUGUUUCCCGAGAGAGACUGCCUUCUCUCAGGCCAUCAGUCUUAUACUUAUAGUCGACUGCUCUAUGACGAUCUGACCUCUUUCCUGGGCUCUGCUUGCUCGUCUACGCUCUGACCAAUUCAGUCAAAAUCGAAAAAAAUAUGUUUCCUUGAAAAAGUCUAAGAAAUAGUAGUAGUCAAAAAGUGCACUUUUUCCAUAUAUUUCAAUUUAUAGGGAUCCCUAUCUUUAUCUCUAUCCACAGAGAUACCUAUCUAUAUAUAGAGAGAUUUUUCUCAAAAUUGAUCUAGACUAUCCUCUAUCCAGAUAGAUAUGUCCCUAUGAGCGACUAGGCCGAUCUUUUUUAUAUGUUUUGGCCAUGUCCAUUUCCACUCCGAAGAGGAAGGUUUGGAUCUUUCAAUCUUAUGUCGUGAGGGAUGUGACCUAUGUUAGGUCCAUAAGAUACCAUAGAUUUAAGUGUUCUAUGAUUCACCUUCGAAUAAUGAGUAGGUAGUUCGAUCCUUUUGAUUCUUAUCUUCCUUGUAAACGGGGAUCUGGAGCAAUAGGUCGAAUUACUAUAUAAAGAAGACUUUUCUACAAAAGGACUUAUUGUUUGAGUCGGAAGAUUUCGGUUUUUAUCCUUCCCUCUUUUCAAUAAGAAGAAGUAUUUGAAAUGAAACAAAUUCCUCUUCAUUCUAUUGUGCUCAGUGAAGGAACUGCCUAAGCAUACUUUUGCGGAUCCAAACUUCUUUGUUCUUACAAAGUCUUCUUCUUGCAUAUAAGAACUCAAGUUUUGCAAUUCCUUGGAUUUGAGUAGUAAGCGGAAUCCCCUCUGAGUUGUGAGUAAGCAGAACCAUUCUUUUUUUGUUCUUCUCCAGAUUCUGGCCUGUAGGAAUUUGCCUCUUCUUUUUCCAACUGAUAUGGCCGAUAGGAAUUUUCCUAUGAUUUUUCCAACUGAUAUGUUGAUACAGAAAUAUCUCCUUAUUUCAAAACCGCGGGUUCUCGCAUCAUUUUCUUUAAAAUAUAUUAGAUCAACGUGGGAAACUUUCAAAUGAGUAAUGGUUACCAGUCCAUUAUUCAAACAAACCCUUUGAUGACUUAUCGGCUGCCUUGCUUGAGGAAGAGUGUCACUAAAAUGGAGACGAACUGGAAUCACGUCCGAUCUUGUUUCUUGAUUGAGUAAAAAAAUGGAUAUAUGAAGUUCGUUCUCUCCCUUUAUGCCUCUCCCUUAUGGGUAAAUCCCCAUAAUGAAGAGACAACUUUCGUGUAGUUUGUGAUUUGAUGUUACUGUUUAGAUUUUCUCUCCGAGAAAGAUUUCUUUUAAUGGAUCUCCUCUUGUUCCUCAGUCUUUGAAGAAUACGGCAUUGGAUUAGAGAAAGCACUACUAGGAAAAGGGCUAUAGAUAGGAUUGAUACUAAUGGCGCACCUUGUAAGCAGUGCGCCACUACUAUAUACUAAUGGCGCAUCGGCCGGAGGUGCGCCAUUAGUGUGGAAGACACUAAUGGCGCACCAGGCACACGGUGCGCCACUAGUAUUGAAUUUUUUUUCCAUUUUUCCAUACACUCUAAUGGCGCAUGGUGCCAAAGUGCGCCAUUACUAGUUCUACCAAGUAAUGGCGCACCUUGUAAGCAGUGCGCCAUUAGUAUAUAAUUUUUUUACUUUUUUGCAAAACUGCUAAUGGCGCACCGUGUAUAUUUUCAUGGACACUUUUUGAUCUCGAUCUCGAUCCCACCCGCACCCUCCCCCGCUAGCUCCACCACCGCCGAUGACCCACCGCAACCCUUCCCCGCUUCGUCGCUGCCGACGAGCACCCGGCCCCCCCGCACCCUCCCCCACUCCNNNNNNNNNNNNNNNNNNNNNNNNNNNNNNNNNNNNNNNNNNNNNNNNNNNNNNNNNNNNNNNNNNNNNNNNNNNNNNNNNNNNNNNNNNNNNNNNNNNNNNNNNNNNNNNNNNNNNNNNNNNNNNNNNNNNNNNNNNNNNNNNNNNNNNNNNNNNNNNNNNNNNNNNNNNNNNNNNNNNNNNNNNNNNNNNNNNNNNNNNNNNNNNNNNNNNNNNNNNNNNNNNNNNNNNNNNNNNNNNNNNNNNNNNNNNNNNNNNNNNNNNNNNNNNNNNNNNNNNNNNNNNNNNNNNNNNNNNNNNNNNNNNNNNNNNNNNNNNNNNNNNNNNNNNNNNNNNNNNNNNNNNNNNNNNNNNNNNNNNNNNNNNNNNNNNNNNNNNNNNNNNNNNNNNNNNNNNNNNNNNNNNNNNNNNNNNNNNNNNNNNNNNNNNNNNNNNNNNNNNNNNNNNNNNNNNNNNNNNNNNNNNNNNNNNNNNNNNNNNNNNNNNNNNNNNNNNNNNNNNNNNNNNNNNNNNNNNNNNNNNNNNNNNNNNNNNNNNNNNNNNNNNNNNNNNNNNNNNNNNNNNNNNNNNNNNNNNNNNNNNNNNNNNNNNNNNNNNNNNNNNNNNNNNNNNNNNNNNNNNNNNNNNNNNNNNNNNNNNNNNNNNNNNNNNNNNNUCCACCGCCGCCAACGGGCACCCCCCGCACCCUCCCCCGCUCCACCGCCGCCGCCGAUGAUAUUUCCAAGUAACAAAUUUGAACAUAUUUUUAAAAAAAUUAUUACUGUUUUUAUAAAAAAAUAUUACUGUUAUGAUUUAAACAAGUUUGAACAUAUUUAAACAAAAAUAAAUAUAAAAACAGCAUUUAAAAUGCAUAAAAUAAUAUUGGGGAGCCUGGGAAUCGAACCCAGGACCUCCUGGUGUGUGUGCUGCGUGCUGACCAGUCGGGCUAGUGGGUGGGUUCUGUUGUAGAUAGGGUUAGGUUGUAGAUGGGGCUAGUGGGCUAGAUUAAAACAAAAUUCUAAUGGCGCACUGAGCGCUGGUGCGCCAUUAGAAUAGUCGUACUUAUGGCGCACGAGAUGGUGGUGCACCAUUAGAAUAGUCGUACACUAAUUAAAUCCCCAAUCUCUCUAAUCUCUCCCCUGCCUCAUCGAUCUCACCCGCUGCCCCCCCGUGUUCGCCGUCCCCCUCGCCGCCCCCCUCGCCUCCUUCGCCGUCCCCGAGCCGAGCCCCGAAGCUGCGCCCCCGCCCGCCUCCUCCUCUCUUCUCCCGCGACCUCCCCCCUACCCCCAUUCAACCGCCCCGUCCCCUCAGCGCCGCCCGCCGUCUCCCCGAACCCUAGCUCCGCCGGCGUCGGGGACGACCACCUCGUCGGCCUCACCAGGCCGCAUGCGCUCAAGCCCCACGCCGUCCUCGGCCCCGCCCUCUCCACCGGCGGCGCCCCUUCCUCCGCCCCUGCAGCGCAGCAGCAGAAGUAAACAGCCAGGUAAGAUGAUGAUGCAUUUUCAUUCAGUCUUUCUAUUCAGUCUUUCUAUUUAUACUACUUGUUUGUUGUGAAGCUAAGAUGAUGAGAACAUGGAGCCUAUCUAGCUUAAUUUUCAGUGCCAUAGUGUGGUUUUGGAAGAAGAUGAAAACACUGUGAUAAUAUAGUGCAAAGCUAUUGGCAUUGUGCAUGGCAAAGGCAUUAACUGGUGAUAAAAAGAGUGGUGAAAAGCAGUAAUAUAUAGUGUGUUAAAAACAGGGUGAAGAUAAGAAUAAGACCAACAUUAUUUGAAGGGGGAAGGAGGAGUGGCUGCCACUGCACCACACACUGAAGCCACCAUUGCUAAAAUAUCAGCUCCAGGGCCCACAACUUUGAGCUGUGACGUAGGACGACCAAAUUAACCCUAGUACAUCAGCAGCUAGCCCACAUGCUCGGCAGCAACAUUGCUAGCUUGAGUUUGACCGUCUAUUUCUAGGAAUUACCACACACUUAAAUUCAGUACCACUAUCACUUUUGCUAAUUGCUGUUUUGGCUGCUUGUUUUUUCCUUGCAUUUAUAUUUUCACAGAAACUUUGCCUACUUUUGUGUACUAUAUAUAUAAUGCACUAAAAUACGGGGUAUUUUCUUUCCAACAACUUUUGAGUGCACAACCAUAGCCCUCCAUUAAGAAUGUGAUCUGCAAAAAAUAGUGGUAGGUGCAACUUCCAAGUCAGAACACUAGAAAACCAAAAGUUCUCACAACUAUCGAAAAUACCAGUCUACUUGUCAAUGGACCAGUGGCUGAUAUGCUGCGUCUGCUUAAACAUAUUUGCCAUGCAGCACAUUAUACGACACUUCCCAGAAAGGCUAUCAGGAACUAGAUUCUACUUGCCAAGAUGCUGACACAGUACCAAAAUCUAGUUGGCUCUCCACCGAUGGAAAGCCUUUUGGAUGGCAGCACCUUUUUGUGCUACAAAAUUGAAUUUAGGUUUUGUGGAUAGAGCUCGCUGAGACUGAACCUAUUUGGGGCCCAAUACUAGCUCUUUAGAGGGUAUACUGCUUUCUUUUCUUAUCUUAAAACAUGCUACAAGGGGCAAAGCAUGGAUCAUGACAAAAUCAGCUGUUAUCUUAUUCCAAGAAGCACAUUUCCUCUGAAACUGACUGAAUUGUUCUUAAUUUUGUAGGUAGAGGGCAAGAUAAUUUGUUGGUUGUUUGCUGUCAUCUUGUUAUUACUUCCAUUAGGGCAUCUGUUGGUUCAUUAACCUUUCUAACAUCUGCAUAUUUCAGGUUUCUGAGGAGGUAAAGGAAGUGAAGUUCAGACAGUGCAGCAGCAGCAACACCUUCAAGGUGAGAAAUAUGUUCCUAUUUAUCUUUUUUGCUCAAAUUCUUCAGUACAUCAUAUAAUAUAGAGAAGUGCAGAUCAAGUGGUACUUGUGAUGAUGUUGUAGGUACCCCGAGAGGCCCUUGAGUUUGCCGGAAUGUCGAUUAACUUCCGUUCCGGCAAAUUCGGGUACUCCAUAUGUCCUAUUUUCAGCAAAGGUAAUGCUGAAAUUUUCCGUGAAUUUUACCAUUACUUUGCUAAAAAUAGGACAUAUGGGGUACUUGCGACUAAUGCCUGUUAUCAUGCAUGGGUACUAAUUGGUCUCUUCUGUUGCUUAUCAGAGAUGGCGGGAAGCAGCCACCGCCGAUCUGCGACACCGCAGUACGAGUUGGAUGCUUCCGAGUUCUUCACUAUCAUACUUGAGGCUUCAGUAUCAUCCAUGACGCAGGUAUAUAAAACAAGAGAUCUCCCCUUCACCCAUCUCAUUAUGAUAUUUGUUGUUUGCUACAUCACUCAUUGUCCCAAACUGCAGAGGCUGCCUGACAGUUUUAUGAACAUGCUGAUGGGUGAAGAUCCGCCAAAUAAUGUGAAGCUGCGACAGGCCGGCAGCGGGUUUCGUAGGCAGUGGGAUGUGCAGUUGGUGAUCAAGAAGGGCCACAUGUACUUGUCUUGUGGGUGGGAGAAGUUCUACCAUGCCUACGACCUGCAGCUGGGGUACUUCCUUCUCUUCAGGUACGACGACGACGCCAACAUGCUCAUCGUGAAGGUGUUCAACAAGACUAUGUGUCGCAUGCGCUACGCUGCCGAUGAUGAUGCCGGUACGUUCUUCCUCUUCUUAUUACUCUACAUUUGGCUUUGUCUCACAUCGAUUGUUAACGGUCAUUGUUGCAUUUUGGAUAGGUAAUGGGAGCAGCAGCAGCGACACUGGCUACAGCCAAAGCAGCAGCGACUAUGGCUGUAGCGAAAGCAGCAGCGAUUCUGGUUGUAGCGAAAGCAGCAGCGAUUCUGGCUGUAGCGAAAGCAGCAGCGAUUCUGGCAGCAACAUAGACAACAAGAAGGAUGAUCCGGACUGGAGUGCGGGAGAUGAGGAGCAGAGUGAGGAUGAGGAGCUGCAGGAUGACGAUGGGCAUCAGGCUGAGGAUGACCUAGCGCUGGUGGUGGCUGACCAAGGGCAAGAGAUGGUGGUGGCUGACCAUGGGCAAGAGAUGGAGGUGGCUGAGGAUGACCUAGCGAUGGUCGUGCCUGAAGGUGGCCUCGCGAUGGUGGUGGUGCCUGACAAUGACCACGCACCGGUGGUGGCGCCGGCGAUCCCAGAGCUGGGCGACAUGACCAUGCCAAUUGUGGUAGAAGACUACAUCCCACUGCCUCCACUGCCUCCACCGCCUCGCCGCUCUAGGCGCAUCAGGGAGAGGAAGGAGAAGAAGGAGAAGAACAAUGCUUGAGAACUGAACUUUUUCAGGUAUGUUAGAUCUCCUACAGGUUAGCUAUCCAAAAUGAUAUAUAUAUAUACUUAGUUACCUAUGUUAUCUCUAAUAUGCUUAGUUUCCUAUAGGUUAGCUUCAUUUUUACCUAAGUUGGCUCUAAUAUACUAACUUAGAGCUUAUAUGCUUAGUUUCCUAUAGGUUAGCUCCAAAAUAACUUAUGUUAGCACAAAAUGAUCAAGUUUACAUAAUAAGCUUAUAGUCUUUUUCUUAUUCUUCUUCUUUUCCAAAAUGACAUAGGUUAGCUUCAUUUUACCUAAGUUGGCUCUAAUAUACUAACUAAGAGCUUAUAUGCUUAGUUUCCUAUAGGUUAGCUCCAAAAUAACUUAUGUUAGCACAAAAUGAUCAAGUUUACAUAAUAAGCUUAUAGUCUUUUUCUUAUUCUUCUUCUUUUCCAAAAUGACAUAGGUUAGCUUCAUUUUACCUAAGUUGGCUCUAAUAUACUAACUUAGAGCUUAUAUGCUUAGUUUCCUAUAGUUUAGCUCCAAAAUAACUUAUGUUAGCACAAAAUGAUCAAGUUUACAUAAUAAGCUUAUAGUCUUCUUCUUAUUCUUCUUCUUUUCCAAAACUCUUCUUAUUCUUCUUCUAGUGUUCUUCUUCUUCUAGUAUUCUUCUAGACUUCUUCUUUUUCUUCUUCUAACUUCUUGUUUAUCAUUUUGCAGAUUUGAUUUAAUUGACGGAAGCUUGCAUGGAUGGAGUGCUUCUUUUCCAUUUGUGUUUUUAUUUUGUAUCAAUGUGAAACUUUUGUGAAUUGAUGGAUAACGGUGUUGGAUGAACAAUGUGAAACUUCUGUAAUAUGUAACGACGGAACUAUGUGUUGGCUAUGUAUGUAUAUAUGAUGAAACUUGUGUGUUGGAUAUGAUUGUUAUAUGGAUGCUUGUUGUAUAUAUAUGUGUUGAAUAUCUCAUAUGUGACAUAGUGACCUGAGAUUAAGAAAAAACAAAAAAAAUAAAAAAAUUAUUACUAAUGGUGCACUACCAUGUGGUGCGCUAUAAGUAUAGCAGAUAAUAGUGGCGCACUGUGGGCAAUACUAAUGGCGCACUACGUGGUGCGCCAUUAGAAUACCAGAUUCUAAUGGCGCACCAGUGGUGCACCAUUAGUAAAAAAAUCUAGUGGCGUGAUACUAAUGGCGCACUGGUAAUGCGCCAUUAGUAGGCAAAACUAGUGCGCCAUUAGUAGGCCUUUUCCUAGUAGUGAAGUUCUCUGUUCCGAACAUUUCCUCGAAGUAGGCGACACGUUCUAAAUCUUAAUGCUGGCAUGGCAUAUUUCGUUGAAUCAGUCUUUUUCGCCACAUCGCGUAUAAAGGGGAUCGAACCCAACUCUUCCACGAAACCUCCACGAAUGGCCCUCCCUUAAUUCAAUGUACUAUGAGAAUUCAUUUUUUUCUUUUUUUUCUUUUUUCAGUUCUCAUAAGUCCUUGAUAUACUAGCAGAAACUCAAUACUUGACUGACUGCGUCACAGUGCUCAGGUAAAGUGGCAGUGGUUGAAAGCAAGCGGAAACGUCAGUGUUUUGCAAUGAAUAUCAUAGAUAGAGUGAUUUCGAUCUCAUAUAACUAGCUUUCCUUAAACCUAUAACCAUCUUUCGGCUAACCUAGCCUCCUCCGUCCUUCCGUACCAACAAGGGGUAGUAUAGGAAUAGUGACCUAUUGUCCAUCGACUAUGCCUUUCGGCCUGAUCUUAGGCCCUGGCUCACCCUCCGUGGAUGAACCUUGCGGAGGAAACCUUGGGUUUUUGGGGCAUUGGAUUCUCACUAAUGUUUACGUUACUCAAGCCGACAUUCUCGCUUCCGCUUCAUC